AUGCUAAUGCUGGAGGAGGUCAUCGAGAGGAUGUGACCACCAAUUGACCUGUGAGCUGGACCUGGGCAUUUGUGACUCAUCCCUUCUCCUGUCCUUGGAAUGUGUACUCUAUGUGCUUUCACCAGCUGCCUCAGGACACAGCGUUGAGAUAGUAAUGUGGUGUUGAGACCUCGUGGAUGGUGUACAUGACAACCCAGGUAAGUCCUCCAUAUGAACUUAUAGAUUCUGGUGGUGGGUGUAAAGAUCUACUCACAGCCUGCAGCCACCCAAGACCAGCCUUGUGUGUAAGGUCCCUUGUUUAUUAAACUUGCUACCUGCCAAUCUGGAGUGGUCUGCCUUUUUGUCCCCCCNNNNNNNNNNNNNNNNNNNNNNNNNNNNNNNNNNNNNNNNNNNNNNNNNNNCCCGCUGCCUGUGGAGACUGGUUUCAGAUUACAUUCCAGAAGCUACCAAGGUUGUGAACUAAGCUUUAAUCUACCUGUAACAAUUAAAUUGGAACAGCCGUCUAUGGAUAUAGAAAAAUAAAUAACGUAUUAACCUUUUACUGCAAAGACUACUAAAUGAUUCAUUUUUAAGCACAGCAUACUUACUUAGGAUUAUUGGCACAUUAACAUAUAUGAACCCAGCCUAUAUCCCUACUGUGAAAUAUGAGUUAUGAAAUUUGAACACUUUAAAAGUAUUGUUCCUAUUUACUAAGAGCUUUAUCAAGGCUCUCACAUAAACAAGCAUAAUUGUAUAAAUAGUCUCUCAUUUUAUAUCGUAAAGCCUACUAUAGUAACAUAGAGUAAAAAUACUCUAUUUUUCGUAUUGCAGGGUUGCAAAAAAAGACCUCUAUGUUAAAGAUUUAAUGGAUAUUAUAUUUUCCUAAUUUUCAGGUGUUUUUAACACUUUGUAUCACCUGCUCUUUUAAGUCUAUUGCUGUUGCUAUCUAAAUCCAUUCAUCUGAAUGAUACGACAUGAUGAAGCUAUACUCAACUAACAGCAAACCCUGCAGACACUUAAGAUGCACUCUCUUUUGUCUUCUAGUUAGCUAGGAAUAGAAAAGACCCCUUCCACAAUGUCUCCAUUUUAUUUUAGUCCAUUCCAGUAUUAUGCUUCGUGUAAAACAAUGCUCCUGAAACUUUACCUGCUAGAAUUAUAAACAGUGGAAGUGAGGAGGAAGCUAGUAGAGACAGCAGGAAGCCCAGCAUAAAAUCUUAUGCAUGGGUGCUCAAUACUUGCUAAAAGGCUAACAGCUUUUUUAUAGGCUAUUCUUGAAUAUAGAUAUUUAUUCUUGGUCUUUUCAUUAGUUUAUAUAUAUUAUCUAUUGAAAUAAUAGUAAUAAUGAAACUUUACUGAGGGCUUGCCUGUGCCGGGCACCGUUUUAAAUGCUUUCUACACAGGGUAGUUUUCAUCUUUACAACGAGAGUUCUGUACGUGGAUCUAACUAUGAUCACACCGUGUUAUAUAGGAUAACCCCACAACAAGGAGAUUGCCUGAUUCACCCCCCCAUUAAGGACAUUUCUGGAACUUGAACCCACACUCUGGACCACUGUCCAUGCCAUCUGAAGUGUGCCAGCAGUGGCUGUUGGUCAGCCACCAGCUCCUCUGUCCUCCUCCAUGUAUCCCAUCUUCUUUCAAAGGAUAUCCUCUUCUAACAGUUCUGUGUUAAACCCAUAGAGGAAGAUGGAGUGUAGUAGCUGCAGAAGAUUUACAGAAACCAUUUUCCCUGCUCCUGGUGAGUAAGAAUCAGAAGGAAUUGUCCAGACAGUGACCCCCUGGCUUUCUUUUCUCCCCACUCACAGUUGAAGGCACUGGAGACAGGCAGGACCCAGGGUUUUAGAUCGCAUGUGCAGGUUCCCACGUCUCAUGCCUCAAGAAUUGCAAGAUGACGUAUCCAGCAGCUCCUUUGCCUAGUGGAUAGGACACCUUCCAAUAUAUACACGGCUGCAAAGGGCUGACCAUUCUGGUUUUGUGAUUGAGGUUUCAGAUGUCCAUGGUGUGGGCUUGAGAGUUUGUGUUUUCAUUGAGCUUUGUUAGCCCAUCACUGUUGACAAAGUUGGAAUUGAAAAGCAAGAUACUGAGCAGCUGCAGUGUUGGAUGCAGCAAGGGGUCCAUGUUGAUGCUCUCAUAGAAGGGAUGCCUUCUAUGCCAUCAGAGCUGCCUUGCAAAAGCAGCAAACCAUAACUUCACCAACCUUGUCCUGUCCAGCCUCAUGGCUCCUUCCUUCUUCCCUCCUGCUGUCACCACUAACUUCCUCCUCACCUCUGCUGUUUAUAAUUCUAGCAGGUAAAGUUUCAGGAGCAUUGUUUUACACUAAACAUAAUACUGGAAUGGGCUAAAAUAAAAUGGAGACAUUGUAGAAGUGGUCUUUACUAUUACUAACCCAGCUCAUAUCCUUAUGGUUGUUACUUUAAAUUCUGAUUCAGGCAUAUUACUUAUGUCUGUUUCAGUUAGAUUCCCAGCUGUGACCUCUUCUUUGUUUUUCUUUUGGCAUCAAUACCUCCUUCUUGGCAUUUUCUCUAGCUCUCUUUUUCUAUGUAGUAGGAAAGCCUUUUAUAUUUCCUGCUACUGAGAGUAAUGGCUUUAUGAAGCAGAGGUCAUACGCUGUCCAGGGCCCGGUGCCUUCAGGAAGUGUCUCCAGUGUAUGCAGUGUGCACUCUGCUGCUGUGUUUUGGCUACUCUUUCCCUUAGGUCACUCCUCUCCAGAAUUUCCCCUUGCCUGCAGUGGGGAGUGUUUGGACCUUGGCCAGAGUGUGGCAGGUUUUAAUUAAGUGUUCUCUGGUCCGCUUGCUCUUUCCACUAAAGCUGAAGCUUUGCAGCACUCUGUGGUCAGUGGACAUGGUGCAUGCAAGGGCUUGUAUUGGUCUUCUGGGGGAGGGACCCGCUGCUCUGUUUGUCAGACACAUUUGCCUGAGAAAAGCAGCAUGAGCAGAGCAUAGGGGGCAGGGCUUGGUGUAGGUAGUUCAGACCACCAUUGUUGGCACUGUGCUGCUUACUGAAGUUAGUUUAUGCUAAGGGGCGGUGAGGAAAAUGGCUCCAGCCAACUCUCUAGUCCGCACAGAGGGGAGUGCACACCUGCUGCUGCCUGGGAAGCCUUCCCAGAAGAGCUAAUAAUCUCCCCUGUUUGUGUCCCAGGCGUUUCGUAGAUUACUGCCUUCACCAUGACUGUGUGGGCCAUCUGCCGGCCUGGUAGCACAGUGCACCUGUGUUCUAUCCCAGGCAGGCCGACUGAGUUUUAAAAUUCCAAACUUUAGAGAUUUGGCGUGGCAGGGACCCUCGCUUCGUUCUUGGUUCUUUGGGGGAGGGUCUCAUUACUCUGGGACUGAUGCAGGUUUGUCCCAGAAGGGCAGUCCCACCAAAGCACAGGGGCAUGGAGUUUGGAGUAAAGCACAGCAAAGAGCCAGUGUCCCGGCUAGCUGCCCUUAGCAGGUGUCUCUGCACCUGUGCUGAGGGGUAAGGGAGUGAAAUGGCAAUACCGCCUCUCCCAGAUGUGCCCCAGAUGUGUUUGUUCUGUUAGUCCUUAGAUUGGUUUCUUGGGUAUUCAGAAUGAUUUGAUAUUUAUCUAGCUGUGCUUGAGGUCUGGGGCAAGUCUAGGGUCCUCCUGCUACUCUGCUAUCUUAGCUCUCCCGCCCCCCCUUUUCAACCUGUGGCACUUUUUGCUCUUGCUGAGAGAUGGAGAAGUCUGAAAAACCGCUGAAUGUUAAGGAACAAUUAUGUUGACAAUAUGUAUGCUUAUGUCAACUGGAAAUUAUUCUGCCUCAUGUAACAUGCUAACUAAAUAGAGACAUGUUGUUAUAAUAACAGGUAGUAUGCAAAUUCUGAGAUUGUAAAAGAAAUAUUGUAUAAGAAGGAAUUGAGAACACUAGGUGGUGGGGAAAAAUUGGCAUCUCGAAGGAGAGGGAAGGUUAAACCAUAAGCAUUUGCAGCAUACGAGGCAGUGUGCCGGUCUAUUUUACUUUCUUUAAAUUCAUUGAUACUAGUUGAUUUUUAGAACAUCUUUAUAGAUUGGUUUAGUUUUUACUUGAAUCAGGUUUAAAUUCUAAUUUCUGACUGAUUUAAUUGAGAGCUGUUAAUUUAUGAGAACUAUUAAAUUUCUUUAUCAAUUUCAGGCGUGCUUGAUUAUAAGAACUACGUGCUGUCUCUUGAUAAAAAUACAGAUUUUUACCUAAGACUUAGAGUACAGAAUUCUGCAUUUUUUCUCAAUAAUACUUAUUUUUUAAAAAAUUCAAAUCUGUACUUUUAUCUAGAUUCAUUGGUCAUUAAAAUUAUGGUAAGUUACUGGAUAUAUGAAUGGAUGGAUGGAUAGAUAGAAAUAGGCCCCUUAAAAUCUAUUCUAAUAAAUUUCAUUAUGAAUCCCUAGAAGUUAGAAAUUCCUAAACUUAACCUCGAAGGUAACAACAAACCUUUAGUUAGAAAAACAUUACUCUCAACAUGUAGCUGUCAAAUGGUUCUUGUUUAAUGUGAAGUAAAGUCAUACAUCUGAAAACAUGUAUUUAAACAUAUAUGUAUCUUUUACAGAAUAACAACCCAUCUUCCCUGUCCUUAAGAAUGUGAACAAUUCUGGGACGCCUGGGUGGCGCAGUCGGUUAAGCGUCCGACUUCAGCCAGGUCACGAUCUCGCGGUCCGUGAGUUCGAGCCCCGCGUCGGGCUCUGGGCUGAUGGCUCGGAGCCUGGAGCCUGUUUCCGAUUCUGUGUCUCCUUCUCUCUCUGCCCCUCCCCCGUUCAUGCUCUGUCUCUCUCUGUCCCAAAAAUAAAUAAACGUUGAAAAAAAAAAAAAAAAAAAGAAUGUGAACAAUUCUUUUAAUGUACGGUUGGAUUCGAUUUGCUAAUAUCUUGCUAAGAAUUUUUGCGUUCUUACUCAUCCGGGAUAUUGGUCUGUAAUUCUCCUUUUUAAUAGGGUCUUUGUCUAGUUUGUCUAGUUUUGGAAUCAAAGUAAUGCUGGCCUCAUAGAAGGAUUUGUAAGUUUUCCUUCCCUUUCUAUUUUUUGGAACAGUUUUAGAAGAAUAGGUAUUAACUCUUCUAUAAAUGUUCAGUAGAAUUCCCCUGGGAAGCCAUCUGGCCCUAGACUGUUACUUGUUUGGAGAUUUUUGAUUACUGAUUCAAUUUCUUGGGUGAUUAUGGGUCUAUUCAAUUUUCUAUUUUUUCCUGGUUCAGUUUUCGUAGUUUAUGUGUUUCUAGGAAUUUAUCCAUUUCUUCCAUAUUGCCCAAUUUGGUGGUAUAUCGUUGCUCAUAAUAUUCUCUUAUAAUGAUUUGUAUUUCUGUGGUAUUGGUUGUGAACUCUCUUCUUGCAUUCUUGAUUUUAUUUAUUUGGGUCCUUUCUCUUUUCUUUUUGGUAAAUCUGGCUAGGGGUUUAUCAAUUUUGUUACUUCUCUCAAAGAUACAGCUCUUAGUUUCAUUGAUCUGUAAUUUUUGGUUUCUGUAUCAUUUAUUUCUGCUCUAUAUUCUUUCCCUUCUGUGGAUGGAACUACAGUGUAUUAUGCUAAGUGAAAAAAGUCAGAGAAAGACAAAUAUCAUAUGAUUACACUCACAUGUGGAAUUUAAGAAACAAAACAGAUGAACAUAUGGGAAGGGAAGGAAAAAUAAACUAAGAUAAAAACAGAGAGGGGGGCGCCUGGGUGGCGCAGUCGGUUAAGCGUCGGACUUCAGCCAGGUCACGAUCUCGCGGUCCGUGAGUUUGAGCCCCGCGUCGGGCUCUGGGCUGAUGGCUCAGAGCCUGGAGCCUGUUUCCGAUUCUGUGUCUCCCUCUCUCUCUGCCCCUCCCCCAUUCAUGCUCUGUCUCUCUCUGUCCCAAAAAUGAAAAUAAACAUUGAAAAAAAAAAAAUUUAAUAAAAAAAAAAAAAAAAAAAAACAGAGAGGGAGGCAAGCCAUAAGAGACUCUUAACUAGAGAGAACAAACUGAGGAUUUCUGGAAGGGAGGGAGGUGGGGGAUGUGCUAAAUGGGUGAUGGGCAUUAAGGAGGGCACUUGUUGGGAUGAGUACUGGGUGUUAUAUGUAAGUGAUGAAUCACUAAAUUCUCCUGAAACCGAUACUACACUAUAUGCUAUAUGUUAACUAACUUUAAUUUAAAUAAAAUCUUGGAAGAAAAAAAAGUUUUUAAAAAACCAGUGUGUCCAAAAAAAAAAAAAAAAAAGAUUUAGUACAUUAGCAGGAAACUAGAGUCCCUUUUUCCUCAUCACUCCCCCACAGGUAAACAUUGACUGGUUAUUGUGUUAUGUCACUAGCUUUUCUUUAUAAAGUUUUACCUUCAUGUAUAUAUCUGAAAAACAUAUUUAGUUUUCUGCCUUUAAACAUAAAAGUAAAAUCAUACAUGCUCUUUAGUGCCUUACUUUUUUGCUCAAUGUUAUAUUUUUGAGAUUCAUCCAUGAUGAUAGGUGUGGUUCUAAUUUGUUUCCACUGCAGUGUAGUAUUUACAUGAUUAGACUAAACUUUAUUUAGUCUGUCAUUGAUGGACAAUAAAAAUGUUUUCAGUUUAUCUUCAUAUGCACAGUGGUGUCAAGAACAUUCUUAUAUAUAUCCUCUGUGUACCACAUACAAGAGUUGCUCAAAAGUAUGUACCUAGGGAUGUCCAGGAAUGAAGGUUCUAGAAGGAUAUGAUUGUUUUUCUAAAUCCCAGGGAUUCCUGUCAUUGGAGGGUAGGACCAAUGUCCUGAAUUCCUUUGGCUGAAUCCUUUUAUACCUCUUGAGACACCGUAUUAGUAACUUAGGCUUAAGGGACAGAGCGGCGAUCGUCCAAGCCUAGUGGGUCUCUUUGUUCCAUACUUAGGGGACAACAUUGGGACUGAGAAUCUGUAUACUAGCUUACCUCAUGACGACAUUCUUGAGUCAACUCAGUGUUCACAAUGAUCACUCACAUGCUCUUCCUUGACCUGUUCUACAUUAGUGACUUUCCACUUUGCUUGAACAGCACAAAUGACCACAUUCUAAAUUCUGAUCCACAAGAUGGCAUAGUGGAAAGAAUAUAGGCUUUGGAUUGAGAAGGAGUUGACUUUAGUGAGCUUGAUCACUUAAUAAGCACAUCGUUAAUUUGUUUCAUUGCUCUGAGUCUGUUUUGUCAUCUGUAAAACUGGGAUAAUAGUUUGUACCUUACAGACAUGUUAUAAUUAGAGAUGAUAUGCAAAUUGCUUGGCCAUUUACCUGACCCUUGCUGUGCAUUCACUAAUCUAUAGCCUUGGUUAGUAUUGUUCUAGUUAUUUGUCAUCAUCUUCAGAAAUCUGGAAAUACUAUUAAUUCAUUUUUUUGAUGAUAACCUCACUUUCUUUCCUUGCCUGAUUGAAUUAACUAAAUCUGCACACUCUCCCUCUUAAAAAUUUCAUCUCAACUUCUAGUUUCCUACCCUGAGUUAUUCUCAUAAUGUUCACUUAUAAAUAUGUUUUGUGCUUUGGUCUUAAUUUUUUUUUGGAGAACAGGAUUAUAUAUAGGCAUACUUCAUUUUAUUGGUUUGCAGAUACUGUUUUUUUUCCCCCAACAAAUUAAAGGUUUGUGGCAACCCUGUAUUGUUGAGCAAGUUUAUUUGUGCCAUUUUCCCAACAGUAUUUGCUCAUUUUAUGUCUCUGUGUCACAUUUUGGUAAUUCUCAUAAUGUUUCAUUUUUUUAAUUAUUAUAUUUGAAUUACAUUCAAAUAAAUUAUUAUAUUUGAGUUAACAUUCAAAUAAAUUAUUGUAUUUGAAUUACAUUAUUAUAUUUGAAUUUAAAUUAUUACUAUAUUUGAAUUAAAAUUUUAACACAUGAGUUACUUCUUAUGAAUGCGCUUCUUUGCUUUUUUGCUUGAGAAGGAAUCUACUGGUGAAGAUGCCAUGAAACUGCCGAAAUGACAAAGGAUUUAAAAUAUUACGUAGGGGUGCCUGGCUGGCUCAGUGGACCAUACAGUGUUUGGUGUCGGGGUCGUGAGUUUGAGCCCCAUGUUGGAUUUUUUAGAUUUUUAGAUUACUAAAAAAAAUAAAUGGACUUAAAAAAAUAUAUUACAUAAACUUAGUUGGUAAAGCAGUGGCAGGAUUUGAGAGGAAUGACUAAUUUUGAAAGAAGUUCUGCUGUGGGUAAAAUGCUAUCAAACAGCAUCACAUGUUGCAGAGAAAUCAUUCGUGAAAGAAAAAGUCAGUCGAUGGGUCACACUUCAUGAUCUUAAGAAAUUGCCACAGCCACCCCAACUUCAGCAGUGACCACCCUGAUCAGUCAGCAGCCAUCAACAGUGACACAAAUGCUCCACGAGCAAAAAGAUUAUGUUCGUCUUAAUUUAUAAAGAUGACUGACAACAUAGGUUAAUGCCUUUGAAAGAAAAGUAGUGGUGCAGUUUCCUUAGAAAUGAGAGGCAUGGGACACAAUGCAGAGCCACAGAAGGAACACCACUUGUGAUCAGGAAGAAGCAGAAGAAGCUAGAAGAGCCAGCCCUUAGAUUAUGGCCUUUAUUGGUGUUUGGCAGGACCAUGGUGGAGGGGUGAGGGCAAGGCAAUGCAGGGCAAACAACUGAGGAAUGGCUGGUUUGAAUAAUUCUGGCAAACUCUAAGCCAAAGAAUAGCUUCUAGUUACCUGGUCCUGGCCCCGGGAAGAUUAAAGUGAGGGAAUGUUAUCUCCUGGGGUGGACAGGCCGGAUAAAGGAAGUAGGUAGAGCUCUGGGCAGUUAGCUUGUAUCAAAGGCAUGUUCCUGUCAGAGCCCUUUGCUAUUUCUAAGAAUUGGCUAGCCCUGAGAGGGUCAGUCUCUCCCCAGCCAGAACAUUUAUAUUUUUAAGAUGUAAAAACAUCUUUCAUAAUAGAAAAAUAUGUACACUUGCAAACAUACACAACAUUUUCUGUUACUUAUUUAUCUUCUUUUGGCCUUUUCUUAAGCAUGUCUUAAUUUAAACUUUUGAUUCCUACCCUCCCCAGUCCCCGCCAUUUUCCCUACCAUCUUCCUCUCUAGUUCAGUUAAUGGCAUUGUCAUCAACUCAGGUACCCUGGCCUGAACACUGACACCCAGUCUUGACUCCUCUUAGUGCGUCAGAAACUCCUGCAGGUUCUGCUUCUGACCACAUUUCACCCUCUCCAGUGUUACCUGCCUGUCUAAGCCAGCAUCAGGCUCACCUGGAUUACUGCUGCCAUCCCGUCUUCACUGCGUACUUCCACUCUUGCCCCCUCAAGAUAAAGUGUAAUCAGAUCUCAUCACUCCAGUGAUAAAAGUCCUCUGAAGAUUUCCCAGCUGCAGUUACAACAAAUCACAAAUGUUUUGCCUCAGCCUUCAGGUGUGAUCAGGCUUGUCUCCAUCUCUUCCCUCCAUUCUCCUCAUUCCUUGUGUCCCAGUCAUACCUGACCUCUUUGUCACCCUUGAGUAUUCCGAACUCAGUGCCACCUCAGGGCCUUUGCACAUAUUUCCUGUUGUCCUACAACUCUCUUCUUCCUACAUUUUUAGUGUAAUACCUCCUUUUGUAGUUCAAAUAGUUCAAAGUUACCUCCUGGGAGAGGCUUUCCCUGAACCUCCUGGGACUGCCAUCCAUGUUUUUCUUAAACUGUUUACUUUGUUUCUUUAUAAUUGUGCUACCUGAACUGAAAUAUUUGUUAGUGUGUUUUUAAUCUCAUGGCACUAAAUUAGAAUCUCCAGCAUGAUGGGCAACUGUUUCUCUGGUUUAUUACUGUAUUUUCAACAUCUAUAGUAGUGCCUACACAAUAGGUACCCAGUAAAUAUUUGUUGGAUUAAUGAAAAAAUGUAUGAAAUGUAACUGGAGACAAAAAAAAAAUCAUAAAACUUGUUACAUGUAUCAUGAAAUAAUAGUAGUAUAUACAUAAUAUAUAAAUUUGUAUAAAUAUCUUAGAGCAUUAAAGCAUUUUAUUUUUUUAGUAUUCAUUAGAAUUCUUCAAAAAUAUCAGCAUGUCUUUUGUGAACAAACUUUAUUACGCCUUGUUAAAAACUAUUUUUUGAAUGCUUAUUUAUUUUUGAGAGACAGAGACAGAGCAGGAACCAGGGAGGACAGAGAGAGAGGGAGACACAGAAUCCAAAGCAGGCUCCGGGCUCUGAGCUGUCAGCACAGAGCCUGACGCGGGGCUCAAACCCAUGAACUGCGAGAUCAUGAGCCGCGGUCAGGCACUUGACAAACUGAGCCACCCAGGCACCCCUAUUAUGCCUUGUUUUAAAUGUGAAUUAUAGGAUUGUUUUCCUUAAUAGCACUUUCAGUUUGUUUCAUUUAGAAAUUGCUUUUAUUGUUUAACAUUUGGAUAAUGUAAAUAUGUCCAUUCAUUUAUAAAUAUGAACAUUCCUAUAUUCCUAUAUUUGGCAUAGAAAGGACUAAAGGAGACUUAUAUUGGUUGCGUCUAAAGAAAGAUACUUAAAAUACUUGAGAAAAAUGAGGUAGGAAAAUUAAGGGUAGGGAAAAAAAGUCUAACACAAGAGGUGAUAGUAAUAAAAAGCUUUCCUUGAUGGAAGAGGUCUGAAAAGUGGGCCCUGAGUUUUCUAGCAAAUGAUGUAAGGUGAGAAAUAUUACAUUUAUGGUACUUAUGUUUUCUAGGAGUUAAAAGUCAACCAGUUCUUUCAGAGAAACUGAGCCAUUCCUCACACUGAGGUCAGGGAGCAGUGUCUCCAAUCUCAAUGAAAGGACAGGGUGUAACAUGAAACGUGACCUCAACACCUUCCUUUCAGUAAUUACAGUGACAUAGGUUGUUUUAGGAAGAAUAAGUCAAAAUAGGAGUCACUGGGGAAGUGAUCUAAAUCACCUCUAAGUGAGUUAUGAAUGGCAAACCGCUUUUAAAACCGUUAAGUAUUUGUGUUGUUUUGUUUUGGAUUUACUCUGACACAGCCACUUUUCAAAGAGGAUGUGGGGAAAAAAUCAGAUUCACUCCACAUAUGGCAUGCUCUCAAUACUACAUCAUAGGACAACAAUUUCUGCUAUGUUGGAAGGAAUUUGUCUAUGUAAAUAAAAGUCAGUAUCAGGGCAGCCGAACUGCCAGCCUGAGAGUUCAUUGCUUUAAUCACAAGCACAGUAUAAUUACUCAGCCAUAGUUUUUUACUCUGUGUUCAGCCUAACAAUUUACCAUAUAUGUGAAUUCAUGCCUAGUAUAUCAUAUGCAUGUGUCGUGUAUGUUGUAAGAAAUAGAGUAGUAUAUUUAACAAUGAUCACGUAUGCUGAUGUUUUAGCAAACCAAUAAGAAAAAAAUAGUAUUUUCAAUAAUGCAUCAUUCCAUUUCUCAGUUGGGCAUGACCUCUUCCUCCAAGGCUGGUCUUCACAAACACUGAUGAACCGAUGGAUGACAUUGACAAUAAAACAAAGUCCUUGGAUCCAGUACCUCAUGCUGCUCCUAACCACAGAUGCCGUUUGAAUUCACCAGUUACAAUACCUGAUGACCCUCCAGAAUAGAAUUCCCAUUUUAUACCUGGUAAGUUAAAUCUCCAGAAAGAAUCUCUUCACCCUGUAGAAAAUGACACUAAGAGUUAGGUUGCUCAUUUAGCUAAUUACUUGAUUGUUUCAAUAAAUAAAUAUUGAGUACCUACUGGAUACCAAAUACUUUACUAGAUGUCAAGUAGAACAUUCCUGCCUUUACAUCGCUUGGAGUAGGAAGUUGUACAAACAUUAAUGGUAUUCUGCAUGCCGUUAUGGAAAUGUGAAGAGAAUGUUGUAGGGACCCAGAAGACAGAGUAACUGACUGUGGGGUUAAAGGGAAGGCCUACCUGAGGAAGUCAAGUUUUAUUGGCAUGGUAGGGAGUUUCUCAAUCAAAAAAUAGGUGGGGAAGGGAGAAUGUCUGGGAGAAAGAAAAACCUGUCCAAAAAACACCAGGUCAUGAAGGCCUAGUGGUGUGGUUGGGGCUUGAGGAAGGCCGACUGGAUCAAAAGGCAGAAGUGCGCAGGUGGGGGUGACCGGUUUCCAGUGCUGAUUAAGUAGUUUGGAUCUUACCCUGGAGCCUUUGAGAGCCUGUAGAUGCUUUUUAACAGGACAUCAAGACUUUUUUUUUUUUUUUUGGUGGGGAGAGAGGGCACAAGUGAGCGAGGGGCAGAGAGAGAAAGAGAAUCCCACAAGGAGCAGAGAGAGAGGGAGAAGCAGAGCUCACCCAAAGUGGGGCUUGUGUUCACCCAAUGUGGGACUCAAACUCAGGAACCGUGAAAUCACAGCCUGAGCUGAAGUAGGUGCUUAACUGAGCCACCAAAGUGGGACAUCAAGAUUUUAGGGGCGCCUGGGUGGCUCAGUCAGUGAAGUGUUGGACUUCUGCUCAGGUCAUGAUCUCUUGGUUUGUGGGAUCGAGCCCUGCAUCAGGCUUCUGUGCUGACAGUGUGGAGCCUACUUGGGAUGUGCUGUCUCGCGCACGCGCUCUCUCUCCCUCUCUCUCUCUGCCCCUUCUGUGCGCACACACUCUCUCAAAAUAAAUAAAUAGACUUUUAAAAGAAAGCUUUAAAGCAGAUACUUGAGUUUGUUUUUUCAUCAUUUUCUUCCCAGCUUCUGGCACAUGGUCUGGUGCCUAAAGGGCACUCAAUAAAUGUCCAGUGAGUAAGUGAUUGGAUGUUUGAUAAGAUAGCUCUUGGGGCCAGUGUGAAGGAAACACUGGAACAGAGAGAAAGCAAGAAAAGGGAAACUAGUUGAGAAGUUACUACAGUAAACCCAAUUGGAUGAGGCUUCGUACCAGUAAGUAUAAAGAAGAGGCAAAAGUUCACAGUUUGAAAAAAAAAAAAAAAACUACGAGAUGAUUGCAGAGAUGUUAUUUCAUUCUAGAAAUAAGAUCCUUGUCACUGCUGGGCAGGAGAUCAGCCUCCUUACUAGGCCUGCACUGAUCCAUCCUGGCUGAGGGAGGGGUGUGGUAUUAUUGCUUCUUUUAAGAGACAUUUAAUAAAAGAAGCAAAAUCUAAAGUCCUACCUUGAUGGAACCCUCCUGCCAAUUCAUGAUUUCGAGUGCUUCUCUUCUUAAGUAUUGUGACUCUUCAAAGAAAUCUGGUUUCCUUGACUGUGACCUUACUUACAUUGACCAAGUUAGAAUUUAACAGACCCCCCGUUGGGAGGAAAUCAGUGUGAGAACCAGAUGGUGAGGAUAUAAAGAAGUGACGGGGUCAGCAGCAAUGUAGCAUAGUCUUCAGAUCACCAUUUUGAAGUCAAGAUGUGAUUUCAAAUCGCAGUGUUACCACUUGCUUUAUCUAUGUAAACUUAACAAUAGUAUGAAGAGUAUAAAAAUAGAACUUUGUGCAGAGCUCACUUUAAGCCACGUCCUGUGCUAACCCUGCAGCAGCCUUAUGAGAUGGGCCUAGAGAGGCUAUCAAAUUACCUCCUCUCUUCAACCUUAGUUUUUGCACUUGUGAAGUGAGCAUGACUAUCUCAUAAAGCUUAAGAGGAUUCAAUGAGUUAGUAAUCUGGAAAUCCCCUUACUACAUUUUUGGGAUGUGGUAUUCCUUUCCCUCAGAAAAUAGAAGCUCUGACUCUUUCUAGGAAGCCUCCAUGUGACCCAUGUAACAUCCGUGUAAAAAUUUAUGCUAAGUUCCAAUAUAUUGUAGUUACAGUCAUGUAAUUUUUUCAUUUGUUUUUGAACACAGGGCCCCCAGCACCUACCGUCCCUCCUCUCGCAUACUACCCAGGAGGCUUGCUAAUGGGAUACUGCUGUCUACAUCAGCGCAGUGCCUUCCCCUUGUACCAGCCAACUGGUGGCAUCCAUUCUGUACAGCACCAGCCUGGCAGAUGUCCAGUGUGAAAUGAGUCUGCUCCAACAGCAUGGAUGCCAGAGCCAGUUCCUGUGCCAAACUGCCCUCCUGGUCUGGAAGACUUAGUAGCUCAGGUACUCCACACAAAUCCAAAAUAUCUUCCUGUGAAAUAUGACCUUGAGGAUCCAACAGAAGAGAGACACAAAGCCGGAUAGAGUGGACAAAGGUGGUGGGUCAGUGAUGACAGAGGCCCAGUUUGUGAGGCUGUAGGAGCAGUGGUCCUGAUUUCAGAUUUGUGAAGGGGAAGCGUAAGUAUAGGAAUAUUUUUCGUGGGAAGACUGUGUAUGGUUUUCAUAAGGGAUUAAUGUUGAGUGGUAAGAUAUUUCAGAUGUCUUCUUGAAGGAAAUUAGAAAAGUAGGAAUAGAAAAAGUCGACAUAGAUCCUAACUGGAGUGUCAUUUAAUUGGAAGACUAAACAUCAAGAAAGGCAACAUGAAGGAACAGAACAUUUAGUGACAAACUCAUCAGGUGCCUUGGCCCCUUGCUUUCCCUCACCACCCAUAAUUUUAUCACCUGCUCUAGCCCUCAUAAAAAUCUAUUAUUACCAAGUAAACAUAAGGUGCCUACCAAGCAUACAUAGCUUCAAGCCAAGUCCAUGAGGCCCUCUACCGUAAAGUGGUGAUCCCCUAAACUCUGUUUAAAAAUUGUGAACCCACUCUGAAACCCAGGUCCUAAAGUCAAGGGAUAAGCAGAUUUGGUUAUAAACUCAAAUAGCAUAAACUCAAAAAAUGUAUCUAGUGAAACUGAGAUACAGCUAGUAUUGGAAACUCUUCUGUUAUCCUGGCUCUUUUUGUUUUGGAAACAGGAGGUAUUGAAGUUCAUUAUAAGCAAGGAACUCUAAUUCAAUGCUUCUCUUCCCAUGUGAUCAAUAAAAUAUUCCUUGAGGUUGACAAGUUCCUCUUUGCAGUUCUAUAUAUUUAAUCUUGUGCACUGAAAACUAUUGAUACAGUGCUAUGGAGAUGAUGUGCGAAAUGCAGUAAAAUUGAAUCAAGAAAUUGGAAUUUGUAGGAGCCAAGAAUUUUAUUAAACUAUCCCUUUAUAAAAUAGCUAUAAAAUAUACAUGAAGUCAUUAAAGUGCUAGAGUAAACCCCUUAACUAUGUUAGAAGCUUAUUGGAUGCCUAUAGUUAAUAAAUUUUAGAAAAUCUUUUUUAUGCUUGUACAAUAAUAUAAGAAUUUGACCUUGUAAGUCUGUGGUCUCCUAGACCAUUUCCCCUUUUUUUAAAAUUGCACAGCAUUAAAAUUGUUUAUUAAAGUUAAAAAAAGGUGUUCAGCUUCUUCCAUUACCCUCACAAAGGUUAAAUGAUAUGACGGAUUCACUUAUCCCUUUCAGAAAUGCGUGAGUUAAAAAACAAAACCAGAAACAAAUAAAAAAGAAAACAAGGUUUAGGGCCAGAUAAUGUAGUGUUUGAUUCUGUAGUUUUAUCACCUCCUAGUUCUAUAAACUUGAACAAAUUUCAUAACUAGGUGAUGUUUCAGUUUCUUCUACAAAAUACUACUAAUUCUCCCUACUCUAUUGGGUGGUUCUGGGAACUGUUAAUGUGUGACAGAGUUCCUGGAACCGCUGAAUGGAUGAGGCAGUAAUGAUGCUAUUUAGUUGAAAUACCUCCUUGGGUGUGAAUGCAAGGUACAUACCCAGUCAUUUUGCUCUAUUUUCCCUAGACUCUCGAGAUCUCAUGAAAUUACCAGGACUCCUCACAGGAAUUCUGUCUAACACAGCAGGAUUACAUGGUUUCUGAGCCUGGAAUUUGCCAGUGACUCCACUAGCUCCUAAAAGAAUGGAUCCUUAAUAGCCACAGUGUUUUAUUAGUAAACUUCUCCCAUGUUAAAGGGCUUCAUUUCAUUAGGCUUUUUUGCCUACCAGUGGACAUUUUAUUAAAGAGUGAAUAUUUUUUAUCUUUUAGCCCUAGAUUUUAAGAUCCUGGAGUUUUUUUAAAUAGGACUGUAAAUCAUUUUGGUGGCCACUGUUGAAAAAUCAUGAGACAUGUUUGGAUCCCCUCACCUGGCUAUGCUUUCAUACAGGAAAAGUCUUGAAUGAAAAAUAGAUUACUCUCUUGUAAUUAAGUAUACUAUUAAACAUUUAUGUCCAGUUAAGUCACUUUCAAUUUUGUUCAUUUCAAAACCAUUCAUAACUCAUUCAAAAAAUAUUUAAGGCAAUAGGGCAUUUCAGUCCAUGUCCUGUGCCCAGAAGUUAGGAAUGACAGAAAAUUGUGUAAGGUAGGAUCAGUCUGUCCUCAAGGAGAUUUCUUCCGCUAGAAGGAUUCAAGAAUCUUGGGAGUAAUCCCUAAGUAAGACUAAGGUGAGAAAUCUGUCUAAUGAUAGUCUGAAUUUCCCUUUUCAGGAGAACACAUUCCAGAAAGUUUCUUGUCCUGUCCUCUCAUCCUGUUUAUAAGCCUCUUGCCCUCCUGGACCCUCCUCUUAUUACAAGGGAACACGUAGGGAAGAGCUUGGUGUGUAGUAACUCAAGUGAACAGAAAAAUCAGAAUGUUAAUCUAUCAGAGGCACCUUGAAAAUUUGAUACUCCUGUGUGAGGUUCACCCUGGCUGAUUCCUCUCCCUAAGCCACUGAGAAAAUAGCAUCGUAUGUGGCUGGUCCGUGUUAAACCAUCCUGAACUUCCUGAGCAACUCAUCUGUAGGUGACAUGUUAAUGAGACCAGUGAAUAGGAACUGAGCUAGAUACAAUCUGUGUAAACACAGCUUUUUCUAGAUGCUGUUAGUGUAGCAGGAAGAUGAUUUUCUGAAAUUUUAUUAGAAACAUUAUUAAAUAUUUUAGUCUUCUAGAGUAGAAGAAGUAGUAGAGUUGGAAGAAAGCGCCUUUCCUAUCUAGACAGCUCUCCUUAUAUGUGGUCAGGUGCAAAUAGGCUAAUUUCACUUGACAAAAUAUAUUUGUAAGUAAUUAACAUUGAAGAUAUGUUAAAAAUUGAUUGCUACGUUGUAAUAUAUCAUCAGUUUUUUCUCUAAGCCUAAUUGUUUUAAUGCUAUUGUUUCUAACUUUCCUAAUUAACUUUUUUCUAUCACAUUAGUUGACAACAUACCCAUUCUUCCACAUUUUGAACACCUGGAAAAUAUGUAUACUUCAGUGGUGAUCAGCAAUAUUUGAAUCAGCAUUAUUGAAUAUCCAGUUCUUCAUAUUGGCCAUUUCUUAGUGGUUCAAAGAGAAAAGACUGUCCUAGAAACUAAAAAAGGGAAUUUUUGUGUAUAAUUUUAUUUAUUUAUAAAUCAUUUAUUAUUAGAUCUAGAUUGAAAAAGAUCUUACAUAUUAUCUGGUCACCCCCACUACACUUGUUCCCUCUUUCUGCCCCCAUCAUAGAUAUUAUAGACAAGGGGGGAAAAGAAUAGAGAAACUAAGGAACUUAGUGAGGGACAAGUGAAUCUAGAUUCACUGGAAGGGGGAAGAAAUGAGCACAAUAAACAUGAAAUCUGUCCUCUAUUCAUCAGUAAAGUGUUCCUGACCCUUAAAGCAACAACUUUACACAUUCAUUUGGCUAUGACAUAAGGCCUUCUUGGUUCUUUUUUCUAUCUGCAGUUUGUGAUGACCUUGAUCAUCUUACCACAUUGCAUGUGCUGAAUGAUUUGUGAUGCAGUGUAUAAUUUUAUUAAAAUAUUUUUAAAAUUUAUUUAUUUAAAUUCAAGUUAGUUGACAUACAGGGUAGUAAUAGUGGUUCAUCACUUAUUAUUAUAACAACCACUGCUCAUCCCAACAAGUGCCUAAUACCCACCAACCCAUUUAGCCCAUCCCUCCCAUCUCUCCUCCAGCAAACCCCAGUAUGUUCAUUGUAUUUAAGAGGCUGUUAUGGUCUGCCUCUCACUCUGUUUUGAUCUUAGUUUUUCCCUUACCCUAUGUUCAUCUAUUUUGUUUCUUAAAUUCCACAUAUGAGCGAAAUCAUUUGAUAUUUGUCUUUCUCUGCCUGACUUAUUUCGCUUAGCAUAAUAUACUCUAGUUCCAUCCAGGUGGUUGCAAAUGGCAAGAUUUCAUUCUUUUUGAUCACCAAGUAACGUUCCAGUGUGUGUGUGUGUGUGUGUGUGUGUGUAACAUAUCAUCUUUAUCCACUCAUCAGUUGAUAGACACUUGGGCUCUUUCCAUACUUUGGCUAUCGUUGAUAGUGCUGCUAUAAAAACAUUCAGGUGCAUGUGCCCCUUCGAAUCAGCACUCCUGUAUCCUUUGCAUAAAUACCUGGCAGUACAUUUGCUGGGUCAUAGCAUAGUUCUAUUUUUAACUUUUGAGGAACCUCCAUACUGUUUUCCAGAGUUUGCAUUGCCACCAACAGUGCAAAAGGGUUCUCCUUUCUCUGCAUCUUUGCCAACAUCUGUUGUUUCCUGAGGUGUUAAUUUUAGCCAUUCUGACAGGGGUGAGGUGGUAUCUCAUUGUAGUUUUGAUUUGUAUUUCCUGAUGAUGAAUGAUAGGGAGCAUCUUUUUGUGUGUCUGUUAGCCAUCCAGAUGUCUUCUUUGGAAAGUGUCUAUCAUGUCUUUUGUCUAUUUCUUUAUUAGGUUAUUAUUUUUUGGGUGUUGAGUUUGAUAAGUUCUUUAUAGAUUUUGGAUACUAACCCAUUAUAAGAUAUGUCAUUUGCAAAUAUCUUCUUCCAUUCAUUCAGUUGCCUUUUAGUUUUGCUGAUUGUUUCCUUUGCUGUGCAGAAGGCGUUUAUCUUGAAGAGGUCCUAAUAGUUCAUUUUUGCUUUUAUUUCCCUUGCCUCCAGAGAUGUGUCAAGUAAGAAGUUGCUGUGGCCAAUGUCAAAGAGGUUGUUGUCUGUUUUCUCCUCUAGGAUUUUGAUGGCUUCCUGACUUACAUUUAAGUCCUGUAUCCAUUUUGAAUUUAUUUUUGUGAAUGGUAUGGGAAAGUUUUAUUCUCCUGCAUGUCUCUGUCCAGUUUUCCCAGCACAAUUUACUAAAGAGAUUGUCUUUAUUCCAUUAGAUACUCUUUCCUGCUUUGUCGAAGAUUAGUUGGCUAUACAUUUGUGAGUCCAUUUCUGGGUUCUCUGUUCUGUUCCAUUGAUCUAUGUGUCUGUUUUUGUGCCUGUAUCAUACUCUCUUGAUUACAGCUUUGUAAUACAGCUUACGGUCCAGAUUUAUGAAGCCUCUGUCUUUGCCUCUCUUUUUCUCAUUACAUUGACUAUUAGGGGUCUUUUCUUUUUCUAUACAAAUUUCAGGAUUGUUUGUUCUAGCUCUGUGAAGAAUGCUGGUGUUAUUUUGAUAGGGAUGGCUUUGAAUGUAUAGAUUGUUUUGGGUAGUAUCGACAUUUUAACAAUAUUUUGUUCUUCCAAUGUAGGAGCAUGAAAUGUUUUUCCAUUUCUUUGUGUCUUCUUAGUUUUCAACACACAGAUAUUUUACCUCUUUGGUUAGGUUUAUUCCUGGGUAUCUUAUGGGUUUUGGUGCAGUUGUAAAUGGGAUUGAUUCCUUGAUUUCUCUUUCUGCUGCUUCAUUAUUGGUGUAUAGAAAUGCAACUGAUAUCUGUACAUUGAUUUUAUAUUCUAUAACUUCGCUGAAUUCAGGUAUCAGCAAUAGCAAUUUUUUGGUGGAGUCUCUUGGGUUUUCCAUGUAGAGUACCAUGUCACCUGCAAAGAGUAAAAGUUUGACUUCUUUGUCAAUUUGUAUGCCUUUUAUUUCUUUUUGCUGUCUGAUUGCUGAGGAUAGGACUUUUAAUACUAUGUUGAACAACAGUGGUGACUAUGGACAUCUCUGUCAUAUUCCUGACCUUACAGAGAAGCUCUCAGUUUUUCCCCAUUGAGGAUGAUAUUAGCUGUGGGCCUUUCAUUUAUGGCUUUUAUGAUGCUGAGGUGUGUUUCUUCUAUUCCUACUUUCUUCAGGAUUUUUAUCAAGGAAGGAUGCUCUAUUUUGUCAAAUGCUUUGUCUGUAUCGAGAGGAUCCUAUGGUUCUUAUCCUUUCUUUUAUUAAUGUAGUGUAUCACAUUGAUUGAUUUGCAAAUAUUGAACCAGGAAUAAAUCCCACUUGAUCACGAUGAAUAAUUCUUUUAAUGUGCUUUUGUAUUAAAUUUGCUAGUAUCUUGUUGAGAAUUUUUGCAUCCAGGUUCAUCAGGGAUAUUGACCUGUAAUUCUUUUAAUGGAGUCUCUGGCUUUGGAAUCAAGGUAAUGCUGGCUUCAUAGAAUGAGUAUGGAAGCUUUCCUUCCAUUUCUAUUUUUUUGCAACAGUUUGAGAAGAAGAGGUAUUAAUUCUUCUUUAAAUGUCUGGUAGAAUUCCCCUGGGAAGCCGUCUGGCCUAGGACUCUUAUUUGUUGGAAGAUUUUUGAUAACUGAUUCAAUUUCUUUGCUGGUUAUGAGUCUGUUCAAUUUUUUCUUUUCUUCCUGGUUCAGUUUUGGUAGUAGGUGAGUGUCUAGGAAUUUGUCCAUUUCUUCCAGAUUGCCCAGUUUGUUGGCAUAUAAUUUUUCGUAGUAUUAUCUUAGAAUUGUUUGUAUUUCUGUGGUAUUGGUUGUGAUCUCUUCUCUUUCAUUCGUGAUUUUAUCUAUUUGGGUCCUGUCUUCUUGUUGAUAAGUCUGGCUAGGGGGUUAUCAAUUUUGUUUAUUUCUUCAAAGAACAAGCUUUUAGUUUCAUUGAUCUGUUCUACUGUUUCUUUGUUUGUUUCUGUAUUGUUUAUUUCUGCUCUAAUCUUUAUUAUUUCCCUUCUUCUGGCAUUGGGCUUUAUUUGCUUCUCCUUUUCUAGCUCCUUUAGGUGUAACGUUAGGUUGAAUAUUUGGGACCUUUCUUAAAAACUUCUUGAUUAGGCCUGAACUGCAGUGUACUUUCCUCUCAGGACUGCCUUUGCUGCAUCCCAAAAGGUUUGGACUGUCGUAUUUUCAUUUUCAUUUGUGUCCAUGUGUUUUUUUAUUGCUUCUUUAAUUUCCUGGUUAACCAUUCAUUCUUUACUAGGAUGUCCAAAUAUUUUCAUGUGGCCGAAUUCAAGUUUCAUAGCGUUGUGAGCUGAAAAUAUGCAUGGUAUGAUUUCAGUCAUUUUGUACCUAUUGAGGGCUGACUUGUGACCCAGUUUGUGAUCAGUUUUGGAGAAUGUUCCAUGUGCACUUGAGAAGAAUAUUAUUCUGCUGCUUUAAGGUGAAUGUUCUGAAUAGAUCUGUUAAGUCCAUCCAGUCCAGUGAGUCAUUAAGAGCUGUUGUUUCCUUUUUUAUUUUCUGCUUAGAUGAUCUGUCCAUUGUUGUAAGUGGAAUAUUAAAUCUCCUACUAUUAUGGUAUUAUUACCACUGAGUCUCUUUAUGUUUGUGAUUAAUUGCUUUAUAUAUUUGGGUGCUUUCAAGUUGGGGGCAUAAAUAUUUACAAUUGUUGGAUCUUCUUGAUGGAUAGAUCCCUUAAUUAUGAUAAUGCCCUUCCUCAUCUCUUGGUACAGUCUUUGUUUUAAAAUCUAGUUUGUCUGAUAUAAAUAUGGCUAGUCUGGCUUUCCUUUGGCCUCCUUUAGCAUGAUAGAUGGUUCUCCAUCUAGAUAGAUAGAUAGAUAGAUAGAUAGAUAGAUAGAUAGAUAGAGGUUCUCCAUCCCCCUACUUUCAAUCUGCAGGUGUUCUUAGGUCUAAAAUGAGUCUCUUGUAUACAGCGUAUGGAUGGAUCUUGUUUUUUUAAUCCAUUCUGCUACCCUGUGUAUUUUGAUUGGAGCCUUUUGUCUGUUUGCAUCAGAUUGAUUAUUGAAAGAUAGGAAUUUAGUGUCAUUCUGUUAUCUGUAGAUCUGAUGUUUCUGGUGAUGUUCUCUGAUCCUUUUUAGUCUUUGCUGCUUUGGUCUUUUUUUUUUUUUUCUCCACUCAGAAAGUCCCCCUUAAACUUUCUUGUGGGACUGGUUUAGUGGUCAUGAACUCCUUUAGUUUUUGCUUCUGUGGGAAAGUCUUUAUCUCUCCUAUUUUGAAUGACAGCCUUGCUGGAUAAAGGAUUCUUGGCUUCAUAUUUUUCCUAUUCAGUACAUUGAAUAUUUCCUGCCAUUCCCUUCUGGGCUGCCAAGUUUCAGCGGAUAGGUCUGCUACUACCCUUAUGUGUCUAUCCUUGUUAGUUAAGGAUCCUUUGUCCCUAGAUACUUUGAGAAAUCUCCCUUUUUCCUUGUAUUUUGUGAGUUUCAUUAUGAUAUGCUAUGGUAUUGACCUGUUUUUGUUGAUUUUAAGGGAGUUUUCUGUGCCUCUUGUACUUGGAUGUCUGUUUCCUUCCCCAGAUUAGGGAUGUUCUCAGCUAUAAUUUGUUCAAAUAAACCUUCUGCUCCUUUCCCCACUUUCCUCUUCUAGUACUCCUAUGAUAUGGACAUUAUUUCAUUUCAUGCAAUUGCUUAGUUCUCUAAGUCUCCCCUCAUGAUUUGGUAACUUCCUUUCCCUCUUUUUUUCAGCUUCAUUAUUUUCCAUAAUUUUAUCUUCUGUUUCACCUAUUCCCUCCUCUGCUUCUUCAUUUCAUGCUGUCACUAUAUCUAGUUUAUUUUGUAUCUCAGUUACAACAUUUUAAAUUCAUCCUGACAUUAAAAUAUUUUUAAAACUAAAGUUUUCUGAAUGCAAGUAUUAUAGAAAACAUGAAUAUCUUAUAAAAAAUGAUUUCAGUCUUUCCUGUUAUGUGAAUAAACAUUUUAAAAUGAUCGUGCUCUGAGCUUAAAUAUUUUAAAUCCCAAAGGAUUUAUUUUUUAAUUUGUAUUUAUUUAUGUAAUCCUUUAUCCAAUGUGGGACUUGAACUCAUGACCCUGAGAUCAAGAGUCACAUGCUCCUCUAACUGAGCCAGCCAGAUGCCCCUAAAUCCCAAAGGAUUUAAAUUCUUACAAGGGUUAUAAGAUAUUUUGAUGUUCUGAUGAAUUGCAUAUGCUUCAAUGAAAUUUUGAAAAAGCUGUUUUUCUUUAUACACUAAGAAAUGCUAGACAAAUACUUGAAGACCAUUUUAACUGCUUCUAAGUUAAAAGUGGCUUUCUUGGGCACCUUGGUGGCUUAGUCGGUUAAGCGUCUGACUUUGGCACAGGUCCUGAUCUCGCAGUUUGCAAGUUUGAGUCUCUCUUUGGGUUCUAUGCUGACAGCCCGGAGUUUGGAGCCUGCUUCAGAUUCUGUGUCUCCCUCUCUAUCUGCCCUUCCCCCCCACACACACACAUACAUACACACACACUUUCUUUCUCUCAAAAAACGAAUAAACAUUAAAAAUUUUUUUUAAAUAAAGUGGCUUUCUCAUUUUAUUUUUUAGUGAUGACAUCUUUUAAAACUAAUAAUAGAUACAAUAUUAAAAACAAUCUGGGCCAGAUUAUUCACAUCAUAACUGAAAACACAGAAGACUUUACCAAAACUGUGUAUCAGACACUAAGGCCCUUUAUCCUGCAGGUCAUUGACUAUAUGGGGCAAGAAAUCAUGACCAUGCAGAGGCCUUUCCGAUGUACCUGCUGUUAUUUCUGUUGUCCCUUCACUAGGCAAGAGGUCAGAGAACACAAGUCUAAUUCCUUGUUUCUUUCUGAUCUGACUCUUCACAGCAUCGUUUUGCUCCUUCCAGAAUGACACAUGAGGGUGUUUUCACUGGCUCUGCUGGUCAGAAUGAAAGAAGAGAGCAGGAAGGGGUGGGGGGGAGAUGUCAAAUUGUGUCACCUGAAGAAAAUCACAGAGGGUUUUUCUUGUGGCUUUUGUCUUCUGGUGCUAGUUGGAGGAUCAGACUCAGAUAAGGGUUGUUUACUUGGUGACCAAUUCUGUUGGUUGUGUCUACUGAAUUAGAAACGUGUCUGUUACCCAGAACAGAAGUCACACACAUUUGUCUAAAUGUACCAAAAUAACCCCAGAUAAGGUGUCCCUAGACAUAAUUGUAUACUUUCAGAAUUGGAAGAGACUUAAAAACUUCUUUUUUUAAUGUUUAUUUUUGAGAGAGAGAGAGACUGAGUGUGAGCAGGGAUGGGCAGAGAGAAAGGGAGACACAGAAUCCAAAGCAGGCUCCAGGCUCUGAGCUGUCAGCACAGAGCCCGAUGAGAGGCUCACACUCAUGAACCACGAGAACAUGAACUGAGCUGAAGACUGACGCUUAACCGACUGAACCACCCAGGCGCCCCUAGAACUGGAAGAGACUUUUGAUAACUGUAUACUGUCCAUCCCAAUCCACACCUUGCCACAGGUAAAGAAAGGGUGGCUCAGAAAAUUAAGCACCUGAUGAGCGUGUUACACUCCACCAAGCACUGGAACUGGAAAGCAGAGGUUCUGAGUUACAGCUGGGUUCCUCUUCUACAACCUGUGAGGCUCUAGGAAGGUUGUUUGCUGCAGGGAAAAGACGCAGCUUUAGACAGAGGUCAACCAGAAUUUUGAAUUCUAGAUAUGCCUUCUAUUUAUGUUGGUAUAAUUUAUUUAACUUCAUUGGGCCUCAGUACUUCCGUACAUAACUAUGCAUAAUAUCCCAUGGGAUUACUGGGAUAUAUAAAGACAGAUUAUGUUCAGUAUCAGCACUUCCUGAAUGUUAGUUUAUUUACAAGCCUUUCUGUGUUUUGAUGUCCUAUAACAUGGAGAUAAUAAUGGUACCAUCACGUAGGAUUGCUUUGAGGAUUAAAUAGUAAAUGAAUAUUAACUGUCAUUACAGUACCUGGCAGGUAGUACAGCGCUCAGAGAAUAUUAGUUGUUGUUCCCAGAUAUCUUCUCUCUCUACUGUGUUUGUAAUAACAGCCUUAAUUUUUUUUUUUAACGUUUAUUUAUUUUUGAGAGAGAGAGAGAGAGAGACAGAGCAUGAACAGGGGAGGGUCAGAGAGAGGGAGACACAGAAUCUGAAACAGGCUCCAGGCUCUGAGCUGUCAGCACAGAGCCCGACGCAGGGCUUGAACUCAUGGACUGCGAGAUCAUGACCUGAGCCGAAGUCGGCCGCUUAACCGACUGAGCCACCCAGGCGCCCUGUAAUAACAGCCUUAAAUUUGAGAUGAAUCUUCACCUUUAACCCUCAGUCCUUUUGAAGAUACAAGGAAUUCUUCAUAUUUAUGACUUUUUUCCUCAAAUCCUAUAAUGCAGCCUUCCAAGAUUACAGUAAGCCAUGAUGUGGCAAAGCUCAUCAAAAUUAGAAAAUACUCAAUUUAUGGAACAUUUAUCCAAUGAUAGAUUUGUUUUUUCUCAUUUCUCCAGUUGUACUUGUAUUCGUGUGUGUGUGUGUGUGUGUGUGUGUGUGUGUGUGUGUGUGCGCGCGCGCGCGUGCGUUUUCAGUCCUGGGAGGUUUGGUCACCUGUGUAGAUUCCUUUUUCUACCGCCAAGAUACAGAUACCUGACAGUUCCUUCACCACAAAAAUCCUCUUCAUAACCACACCCACCAUAGAAUUAGAGAAGGAACUUUAGUCCUCCUCUGUGUCCUGAAGGAAGGUGUGACCUCAUCCCUUAAGGUUGCUCCCUGCAAAGUCAACCCUGACAAAUGGCCAAGGGAAAGAGUGGUCAAGGCCUUGCAUUGUUGGCACGCACAGUGAGAAGGGGAGGAGUACGAGAGGCCCACGGAGGACUAUCUUGCCCAGCAGUAAUUUCCCUAGUCCUUGAAGGGCUUAGAGCACAUCUAGGUGGUGUGUACAUGAGUACAUGUCUGUGUCGUUUCCUCCCCUCUGCCCAUUUGCAGCUGGAAAUGCAGUGGCCUCCUGGUGUCACCGCUGGCUUUGCUCUGGAGCACUGGAACCCGUGCAGGACGCUUUAUAGCAUCCAAAGCAAGAAGAAGGAAAAAGUGAUGGGAGUGCGUGGGCCGUGUUCAACCCAUGGCUGGGGUUCAGAUUCUGCUUUUGAGGUAACCUAAUAUUAAAAUGUUUUCAGAGUGUUUUCUACAUGGACUAACCAACCUCAGAAUGAUCUUGUUUCAGUACACUUUUCCAUGUAAGUGAAAUGAGGUUUGCAAAAUCACGUAUAAAUACAGCAGUAUGAAAUAUUUAAAAUACUAUGCUAGGUAUUUAAGGAGACUCGAAGGUAUACAGCAUAGUACUCUGUCCCAAAUGUAAAAUAAGCAAAUACAGAAUUAGAGUGUGAAACUCAAAAAGCAUUGAUAUAAAAUAAUUGCAAAUUCAUCAUUUUGCACAUAUGCACCACAUCAUGAGACAGGUAUCUACUAAUCUCAUUUUUCAGAGACAAAGCUGAAAUUUAUCAGGAGUUAAUAGGAAGGGGAUUGGGUGCUGAGGAAUUUCUUCCCUCUGAUGUAAUUGCAAUGCAGGGAGUCAGAAAGAAAGAGACAUGAGAGCUCCUGGAAGAGGGAAGCAGAGCAGGUGGAAUUAGCUGACACGAGAGCUGUCGAGCUAAUGAGUCUCAAAAGUCCCCAACAGAAGCCUGGUGAGGCAACCUGCUGUCCUAUCCAUGUUCUCCCAGUUUCCCGAGUAGUCUGGUGGUCAGUGGCCACUGGUGUGUGUGGUGGGGGCAGGAGAUGGUGCUGGGUCUGGGAUGACCUCGAUGCAUCCACUCUUGAGGUAAACACUACCUCCAAUGUACUCAACCAUGUGUAUAUCUUAGAGGAUUUUUGCGUGUAACGUUUUCUGGAUUCUAAGGAACCAAGAUGCGUGUACGUUAAUAGAAUACACUUACAACGCAAAUGAUUUGCACUGGAAAUCUAUAUACAAGUAUAGCUUAAAAAAGAAACAACAGAUAAAUAGUAAGUUCUAAACACAUGUUCUGUAAUUAGCUAGCUUCAUGGUAGUCCCUUACAUUUUCUUGCAGUUCUUAGUUCUGUUGCUUCUCAACAAAGGAGCCAGUCGCGCAAAGGCAUAUCAUUUUGAUAUGUGUAGUUGCUAGGUUUACCUCAAGAUUUAAUUCCAGGCCAGAAGGAUAUGCAUCUGGGCAAAUUUAGAGAAGAAACAUCCUAAUCAUGGAAUAGUUGGAAUAAUGUAACCAGUGACCUAUAGCAGCAGUGAUGACUGAGGUGAUGCUAAUGAUAAGAGCAGCUGUCCUUUCCAGUGAUCCUACCUUCUAGGCAUGGUUCUAACUACUUUCCACAUGUUAACUCAUUUAAUUCAUAUAACAAACCCAUUAGAUAGAUACUAUGAUAAUACCCCUUUUAGGGGUGGCUGGGUGGCUCAGUUGGUUAAUCGUCCGACUCUUAAUUUUGGCUCUGUGCUCACAGUGCUUGGUGUAUUCUCUCUCUCUCUCUCUCUCUCUCUUUUUCUUUCUCUUUCUCUCAAAAUAAAUAAAUGAAUAUUUAAAAAAUAUAAUUCCCCUUUUAGAGAUGAGAAAACUGAGGUUAGAUAUCUUGUGCAAAGUCACUCACAAAACAGUUAUGUGAAAGUGUCUCCAGAGGCUACACCCUAAACCACUAUGCCUUGUGUCGUCUUUCAUCUGUGGGGUAUUUAGUUUCUUUCUGUGUAAACACAGGAGAUCAGAAAUGGAGUAAAAUGGUGGCAGGUUACUUCACGCACUCUCAAGUUUAGAACCAUGAGGCUGAGCCCAUGAGGCUCCGAGGACGGCUUGUCUGCGGGUGUGCUCUCUCUGACAGGCUUGCUCUUGCUUCUGCUGGUGUCCCAUGAUGUAACCAAUGGAAGACCAUGUGUUAUAUUAUUCUUCCAAUUUGGAGAUUCCCAAGUCAUGUGUGUGUUUUGAAUAUAAACCCCUAAAUGAUGAGUGCACAUCUUGAUGUAUGAGUUCUCAGUGAUCAAAUUUUCCCUGCCAAAAUCUCUAAGUAUUGAAAUCUCUAUGUAAGCUUGGAAAAGAAAUAAAAAAAUAAAUAGCAAGUUCUAAACACGUGUUCUGUAAUUAGACAGUGUAAUGGUUGCCCAUUAAAUUUCCUGCGGUUCUUAGAUUUGGCCCUGCAGGCCAAAACAGUCGAGGUUUUUUUUAAUCCUUGUUGUCUAGUCUACCCUUUAUACUGGGUUGUCUCCCUUUGAGGGUUCCCACCUUAUUGGAGAUCAAUGAUAGAGUACACAACACCCGCUGCUCAGGCCCAAGGCCCCACCACUGCCCUGCCAUGAUUGGAGAAAUCAAAUCCCCUGGCUAAAGGAGGAUUGGCACCUCUCAGAAGCCAAAGACGUGUCAGCCUCUGUGUAAUACGCAGGAUUUUCAGAUUUUUCCCUUUAGCUCCACAGAUUACUAGAACUUUUCUAGGAGCUUGACUUUGCAUGUCAAUAGGUUUUAAUUAUAUUUUCAUUAGCACUUUUAGGUUUGCACAUUAUCUACUUUGCAACCUUGCCAGAACUGGAAGUGAUAAAAUUGUUAAAAAGGUGCACAGAUUUUAGUGUCAAGAACAUAAGACAGAAUGUUCAAACACCAGUGUAACAGUUAAAAUAAUUUUCUUCAUGUGAAUUAUUAACGGCUGGCAAUAGCUAAAAAGACACUUCCUCGUUUUCUAUUUGAGAUGACAUAUGUGAUGUUUCUGCCCUGGGGAAUUCGUAUGGAAUUCCGAUCCUCUGGAGAUGUUUGUUUCCGUUAAUGUUUGAUUAGGUAAAACCUCAUUCAAUAAAUGUUAUGGUAACUGUUUUACAUUCCGAGGCACAGAAAAAUUUAUUUUGGAAAAAAUGCUGAAACCAUGUUUUUCCUGAAAGUUUCAAGAGUGUGUUUGCUAAGUUGUCGUAGCUAACACUCAUUGAACGCUGUUUCUGUUUUGUUAAAAAUAAAACAGAUUUAGAAAAUAAACAAUGUUAGAGACUCUUAUUUGUGCAAGGAUAGGGAGAUGAGGGAUGCCAUAGAGAAUAAUUAAAAUGACAAAAUAUACUUACAUAGUUUUAUAAAUUUAUUGCUGCUAGCUGCCUUUUGCCUUCCUCACCAUAAAACUAAAACAAGCCUUAAAAGGGACAGUACUAGCUUAUAGCUUCUUUAUUAAAAAAUACUUUUAUUAAAAUAUACUCAUUUUGAUAUAUAUCUGUAUCUAUAUAUCUAUUCUCAUGAAUGUUACUGUGACCCUAAACUGCUCUGAAAAAUAGUCUAUUAAAAACAAAAUUCCUAGAGGCCUCAUAAGGGAAAUAAAUGAGCGAGGAAGAAUUACCAGGAACUGCUGCAAACUGGAGACUACAGAUGGUAUUUAAAGAGGGACCCAGAUAUUUAGCAUAAGCAAAUUGACUCACCCAGAGUGAGGUUUACAUGGACAGACUGCCUUUCUGGGUAGGCUAGGUUAUGCUGUGAUGACAACACCGAAGUCUUAGUGACUUAUAAGAAAACAAAAAGUUCUCUUCUUUUUUUCAACUUUUUCUUUCAAUAUUUACUUUAGAGAGAGAGAGAAAGAGAGAACACGCAUGUGUGCGUGAGUGGGGGAGGGGCAGAGAGAGAGGGCGACACAGAAUCUGAACAGGCUCCGGGCUCUGAGCUGUCAGCACAGAGCCCGACACAGGGCUGGAACUCACGGACCAGGAGAUCAUGACCUGAGCCAAAGAAAGCACUUAACCGACUGAGCCACUCAGGCGUCCCUGUUUGUACCUUUCUUACCCUGUGUGUCCAAGUGCAAGUUAUCAGAACACCUCUGCUCAUCACAGUCUCUCAAGGACUUGUGCUAGUACAGAUUCUAUCUUGACCUAAUCUUAUGUAAGUGCUAAGAAGACAUGGGGAAGUGCACAUGGCAACUUGCACACUGGUUCUUAAGUUUUCUGCCUGAAAGUGGAACAUCUCACUUGGAGUCACAGUUCAUUGGUCAGUGCAAGCCAUGUAGAAACAACCAACUUCAAAUGAGCAGAAAGAUGCAAUCUUAGAAUAUUUUUGGAAGGAAAGAAAAGAGUUUGUAAAUAGCACUAAUGACGACUUGGCAAAUGUCCUGGUUUUUAAUUUUUGUUUUAUUUUUCUUCAAAACAACCUGGAAUACAGAAUGUUAUGUGAAAUUGAUAUAUUAAUGUGGGCAACUAGUUACAUUUUUAAGACAGCAUCUUCAGGGGCGCCUGGGUGGCUUGGUCAGUUGAGAGACUGACCUCGGCUCAGGUCAUGAUCUCACAGUUGGUGAGUUCGAGCUCCAUGUCAGGCUCUGUGUUUACAGCUCGGAGCCUGGAGCCUGCUUCAGAUUCUGUGUCUCCCUCUCUCUCUGCCCCUCCGUGCUCACACUCUGUCUCUCUCAAAAAUAAAUAAACAUUAAAAAAAUUAAAAAAAGAAACAGCAUCUUUACAUUAAUGAUGCUUGCUGGCUUCUAAUUUGUCAUUUUUAUCAACUAACAUCUUAAGUAGAAAUUAGGGUAAAUCUACCAGCUGCAUAAAGGCAGUGGGAGGCCCUAGGGAUAAGGGAAAUGGAAGACAUACAGUGGAGUUGCUUAGUUGAACAUAGGCAGGGGUAUCAAAAAUAUAUUUUUACUUACUUCACAAUUUGCCCGCCUUGAAUGGUUAAAAUUAAAAAGACUGAAAACAAGUGUUAGUGAAAGUGUGGAGCAACUGGAACUCUCACAAAUUGUUUCAACCACUUUGGAAAGUCAUUUGUAAGUAUCUGAUAAAACCAGAUAUAUAAGUACUCUGUGAUUCAGCUACUUAACUUUUAGAUAGAUGCUUAAGAAAAAUAAGUACAAAUGUUUACCAAAGGUUAUAUUCAGUGUUUCUAGCAACUGUAUUCAUAGCCCCAAAUGCAGAGAUCCCAAAAUGUGCAUCAGUAGGAGAAUAGAUUUAAAAAAAACAUUUUUUUUAAUGUUUAUUCAGUUUUGAGAGACAGAGAGCAAGCAGGGGUGGGGCAGAGAGAGAGGGAGACACAGAAUCCGAAGCAGGCUCACAGAGCCCGACUUGGAGCUCGAACUCACAAGCUAUGAGAUCAUGACCUGAGCCGAAGUCAGACGCCUAACUGACUGAGCCACCCAGGCGCCCCUAGGAGAAUAGAUUUUUUUAAAAAGUGUAUUCCCAGAAUGAAAUGCCAUGCAGUGACAAAAAGGAGAAAGUACUGAUAUACAGUACAACCUGGAUGAUGGAUAAAUCUCAGAAAUUAUCUUUAUUAGGGUUCUCCAGAGAGACAAAAUAAAUACAUGGAAUUGGCUCACAUGCUUAUGAAGACAGAGAAGUCCCACAAUCUGCAGUUGGCAAACUAGAGACCCAGAGGAGCUGAUGGUACAGUCCAGUUCAAGUCCAAGUCUGACUGCAGUAGAGGACUGGUGUCCCAGCUCAGAGAAGCAGACAGAGAAAAUUUCCCCCAACCUACCUUUUUUUUUUUUUCUAUUCAGACAGCCAGCAGAUUGGAUGAAGACCAACCACAUUGAGAAGGGCAAUACUCUGCUUUCCUCAGUCUAUCAAUUCGAAUAUUAAUCUCAUCCAGAAACACCCUCACAGACACACGCAGAAUGUGUAUCCAAAUAUCUGGGCAUCCCGUGGCCCUGUCAAGUUGACACAUAAAAUUAACCAUCACAAGUCCACUCUUUGUCAACUUAACACCCAUACACAUCUCCUUAAACCAUACGUAAUUUCCAAAUAUAGACAAUAACAAGGUCAUGUCACCUAACAUGAUACAACUAUACUACCUACCAUUGAAAAUGCACUAACCCAUUCCAGAAGAAAAGGUAAAGUCCUUAAGUGAUGUUUACUUUUGCCCUGAUAUCCUGUAACUUAAAUACCAUGAUAUAAAAUUAAUAAUAUUUAAAUAUCAUGGUAAUAAGUCAAUGCCUGUUACAGUAUAAGGGAACAAAUAUAUUUCCUAUUCACAUACACAUAACUUAUAACAAAGUAAGAAGGAACUCUCAUAACAAUUACAGUUCUUGUCUCUUCUGUGGUCAUAGCUGACAUCUGUAAUUACCUUCUUCUACUACCUAUUCUGUAUUACUUUUGCCUUCGGCAAGCACCUCAGUUGGUCGUGGUUCUUUACCUAGUAGAAUUACACAAACAUUCAUUCCUAAAAGAUGUGGGACGUUAGUAGUCAUGUCUGGAUUGGGUCAUUUUAGUUUUCCAUUGACUUUAAUAUACAGCCACAGUAGUACGAAGAGAUGCCCUAACGGAUCUUCUGUAUUACAGAGAUACUCUUCCUUCCCUCCGUUGUUGAAUAUCAGUCCAAUUUUCCCUAGGUAGCCAGGAUUAUUCACUUCAACUGACACACUAAUUCCUUUCUUUGCCUGUUGAUUUAAAGGCAUGAAGAGUCCAAAUGCCAGAGUGGCAGUCUUAACUUUUAGUUCAAUUGAAUCAUUACUUUGUUUCCUGGUAUAACCAUUCCUCAUUCUGGUACUAAGGCUUCUAGGCCAGCAGAGCAUAAGGUUGCAAAACCGAAGUAGAAAUUUUGCUAAUGGGUCACUGUGGAUAAUAGUGAGUGGUGCCAUUCCCAUUUGCACCCCUUGAUUCCUGGACUCAAGAAUCCUGAUGGUAGGAAAAACAGAACCAUAUAUUAGAUGCUGAUUCUAAGUAUAUACAGCCUCCUGGAGAAGCUUACCCUAGAGUUGCAGGGCAUUGCCACUUAGUUAGUGCUAUAACCAAGUAUUCAAAAGGCCACUCCAUCAUUUGAUCAAGCCAGCUGCUUCAGGAUGGUGAGGAACAUGGCAGUGGUGGUGAACGGGCCCACUGCAUAUACUACUUCCAUUUGAUGAUAGUGUGCUGCAGGGCACAUCCAACUUUAUGGCUUGGUAAGUCAGGUGACAUCUAAUUCAUGAUGGGUAGUUUAUGUCCCAUGGUGACUGGGUGCCUCUACUCAAUCUCAUAGCAAGCCAAGAGCUAUUUUUCAAAAGGAGAGUAUUUCUCUGCAAGGGAUGGCAGGAUUCUAAGGGCCUGCAGAGAAAUUCACUUAUAGGUGAAUUCUGCCAGUGAUUCCAAACAGCAUUCCUAUCUACCACUGACAGUUCAAGUUCCAUUGGAUGUGCUGGAUCAUAUGACCCAAGUGGCAGAGUAACUUUUAUAGCAGCCUGGACCUGUUGCAGAGCCUUCUCUUGUUCCGGGUCCUCCUCAAAACUAGCAGCCUUUCAGGUCACUCAGUAAAUGGACUGGAGUAACACUUCCAAAUAAGGAAUAUGUUGCCUCUAAAAUCCCGAGUCCCAUUAGGCAUUGUGCAUGUAUUUUGUUGUUGUAGGAGGGGCCAGAUGCGACAGGUUAUUCUUCACCUUUGAGUGGAUAUCUCAAUAUGCCCUAUAGCACUGACCCACUAGAAAUUUCAUUGAGGUAAAAGACCCAAUUUUUGUUGGAUUUAUUUCCUAUCCUCUGAUAAGCAAAUGUCUUACUAGUAAGUCUAGAAUAGUUGCUACUUCUUGCUUACUAGGUCCAAUCAGCAUGAUGUCCUCAAUGUAAUGGACUGGUGUGAUGUCUUAUGGAAGGAAAGAGUUUAGAUAAAGAUCCCUGUAAAUUCAAUUAUGACAUAGGGCUAGAAAGUUGAUAUACCCCUGAGGUAGUACAGUGAAGGUGUAUUGCUGGCCUUGCCAACUGAAAGCAAACUGCUUUUCUGGUGGACCUUAUGGACAGGGAUAGAGAAAAAGACAUUUGCCAUAUCAAUAGCUGCAUCCCAGGUACCCAAAGAUGGGUUGAUUUGCUCAAGCAAUGAAACCAUAUCUGGUACAGCAGCUGCAAUUGGAGUCAGCAUCUGGUUAAAGUUAUGAUAAUCCACUGAACUUCUCCAAGAUCCAUCUGUCUUCUACACAGGCCACAUAGGUGAGUCGAAUGGAGAUGUGGUGGGAAUCACCACUCUUACUCUUUUUCAAGUCCUUGAUGGUGGCACUAAUCUCUGUGAUACCUCCAGGAAUGGAAUAAUGCUUUUGGCUUACUAUUUUGCUGAGUAGAGGAGGCCAUAGUAGCUCCAACUUGGCUUUUUCCACCAUAGUAGCCUUCGUUCCACAUGUCAGGGAACCAAUUUGGAAAUUGUGCCAGCUGCUGAAUAUAUCUUCCAACUGUGCUUUCUGGAGCUGGGGAAUAACCACAGGAUGGGCUCCCAUUGAGAGACAGACUGAGUUAAAACUCCAUCGACCACCUGACCUUUUAAGCCUCUGCUCUGACUGAUGGCCACAGUGACGUUUUGGGUCUUGUGGAAUUAGUUCAGAGGCAGUGACAAGUAGUCCCCAAAUGGUCGGAUUAUUUCCUUUUCCUCAAUGCACACAGUUAGUUAUGCUGGUAAAAGGCCAUAGGUCCCUUUGGGGAAGUCUGAAAGAAAUAUUAACAGUAAGACAAAAAAAACCUCUUUCUUUUUUUGAGAGAGAGAGAGAGAGAGUGCACAUACGAGCAGGAGAGGGGCAGAGAGAGAGGGAGAGAGAGAAUCUGAGGCAGUCUCCAAGCUCAAUGUGGAGCCCAGUGCAGAGGCCUGAUCUUAUGACCUUGACAUCAUGACCUGAGCUGAUACCAAGAGUCAGCCGCUUAAUGAACCGAGGCACCCAGCACCCCUAAUAGUAAAUAUUUUUAGUAAUAUCUCAGGGUCUUUCCUCAACAGGACCUGGUCCCCCCUUCACUCAUGGGGUUUUGAGUAUAUAAACUGGCUUAAGUCUGGCAGUUGAUUGAGGGGCUGUGACCAUUCUUAUGAUUCAGAUUUGGCUUUUGUUUACUUGAACCAGAAUUUUUUGUGCUGCAAAUAUAGGACAUCAGAGACGGAGGGAGGGAGUGCAGCCCAAUCUAAUGCCUCAAAUACAAAUAAAUAAGCAAACUACUUUGCUGGCCAAAUCCUAACAGUUGGAUUGUUCUGAUUAGGCCCAAAAUCCUCCAUUUUCACUCAUCUACAAAUAGUAUUUUUAUACCUAUGCACUACUUUUCAGAAACAAAGAAACAAAUGGUCUAUUAAUAAAAAUUAAGUACUUAAAAUAAUUUUUUAUAAGCUUAUAAUAAAUUUCCUCAUAAUUAAGAUUAGGGACGACGGAAAUAUCCAAUUAGAAUUAGCAUCCCAGAGGUGCCUGGGUGGUCCAGUCGGUUAAGGGUCUGCCUUCGACUAAGGUCAUGAUCUCACGGUUCAUGAGUUUGAGCCCCAUAUUGGACUGUCUCCUGUCAGCACAGAGCCUGCUUCAGAUCCUCUGUCCCCUUCUCUCUCUGCCCCUUCCCUGUGCCUGCACUCUCUCUCUCAAAAAUAAAUAAACAUUAAAAAAAUAGAAUUAGCAUCCCAGCUCUGCCACUUGUUACUCUGUGCCUCACUUUUCCUCUUACCAAGUGCAUGCUUUGGACAGUCACAGCGAACCUCUCCAUGCCUUAGUUUUCCCAUCUGUAAAAUGAGCAGGAUAACAGUACGAAGCUAUAUGAGUUGUUUUGAGGAUUAAAUAUCUUAUAAAUAAAGUGCUUAGGACCAAGUCUGGCACCCAGACAGCAAACAAUGCGAAGGCAUUAGCUCUUAUUAUGUUUCUUUUACUUUUGAAAGGAUACUCUAUAUUAUUAGCCUGAUAUCUGAGAUUUCUAUCACACCUGCAUAGUUCAGUUUUUUAGCUUAUUUAAUUGCUAUCCCAUUCUAAAAAAUACUUAAAAAUAUUUUUUUCUAUUCAAUUUCGGAUCAACAGAAGAAAUGCUUUCAUUACAACUAACCCUUAAGCUAAAGAUGUCUUAGAGCAGUGGUUCUCCACCUCAACAGCACCUCAGAAUCACCUGGAGGCCUUGAUAAAUUACAGAGUGCUGGGCCCAUCUCCACAGUUUCUCAUUCAGUAGGUUUAGAGGAGAGUCUGAGGUUGUGCACAUCUAAAUAUUUUCAAUGUAAUGCUGAUACUGCUGGUCUGGGGACCACACUUGAGAACUGUUGUCUUAGUGAACAAAAUCUAAUGAUUGUUGGAAAAAGAAUUUUGAAAAUUUAAGUAGUAAAUUUAUUUUCUUUCUGUGUGUGUAUAUAUGCAUAUGUGAAUAUAAAUAUAGUAAUUAUGUAAAAGAUGGAUGAAAUUGUUAAUGUGCCAUUUUCUAUAUAAUUAAAAAGGUAAGUCUUAUCAAACAAAAAUCAUGUAAGUACAAGUACUUAGGAAGUUUAUGUAACAUUUCUUUUGUUUUUUGUUUUAAGUUUAUGUAACAUUGAUAAUUAAGUUGACAUUAUUUGGAAUAUUUUCUUGAAUUCCAUAACAACGGCAUUUUUCUUGAUAAGAAUUCAUGUUUUUCAAAAUAACUAGUUAACUAAUCCUUUUAUUGUCUAAGAAAUUUCUGUAGGAUUACUGCUUAUUUAAGGCAAAAAGACUUCUUGCAUGUUCUUUAUGCCACCAACCUCAAGGUAAAGCUCUGCUAAAAAAGAAGCAAACAGAUCUUUUCUUGCAUCUGAUUUGUGUAUGUGUGUGUGUAUGUAUGUAUGGGAUUACUUUGAUGAGAUGUAAUCAUUUUGCAAAAGUAUUAUUAUGAAGUUAUUUAAAAGCUAUGUAGUAUUGAAUUUGUAGUAAGCAUUAGUUGCCCAAUACUGGGAAAUAAUUUAAAGAUGAGGAAGGCCAAUCCAAACAGUAGUGAGCUUAUAUUUUGUAUUUUGAGUUUUUCUAAGUUGUGCAUACAUGAAAUUGCAGGACAAUAUACACCAGAUUCCUUUGUUCUUUGCUGUGUUAUAAAAUUGCUACUCAUAUCCAGGGACUGACUCUCUAGUUUUACCACACAUGGCAUUUUUAUGAGCAAUAUUUAACACAUGUUUAAGAAUGUAGGAAAGAACUAGGAUUGGCAGAAUGAAAAAGUGUGAGCUUCAUGCAAUGGAAACACAGAUUUGAACUAAUAAUAAUUUACUACAUUUUCUUAUUGAAAAUGUGGUUGAGUAAUAGUUAAGCACUUCCUUAAGACAAAGAAUUGACUUUUCAUACUCCUCAUUAAUGUGUAUAGUAUCCCAGAACUUCUCAUUUAGUCAAAUUGUGGAAAAAAUCUUCUAGAAUUCUGCCAAGUGAUCAGGCAGAUAGUGUUCCAGUACAGGUGAGUGAGACACCUGAAUGUUGAUAACAUGUGAGACCACAGGGUCUCUGGCUUCAAGGAACAUAGAUCCAUGAAACCAGUUUAUCAACGGGUAGGUCCGUUUUUGUUUCUUGGUUUCUAGCAUUGUCCUGUUUUAUUGUACAGUUCACAUACUGCCACAUGUGAAGUAUGGAACUGAUGUGUCUUUUUCAACUGAAGAAAGAAGUGCAAAGUUUAUGUUCAUGCCCCAAUGCGUUAUGGGAAUCAGUAUUUUGAGAAUCAACAGCAAAAUCUCUCUUCUAGUAGUGGUUUGAUUUCAUCCAUUCUUUGGGAAUUAGGAAUAAAUAUAAAUAGUUGAAUAUAAUCAUAUUAUUAUAUGUAAGAAAUAUGUAAAAUGAUACUAUUUUUGCUUCAGAAAUCCAAAUAUGACCUGGGUUUGAUAAUCUGGCACUGUCCUUUUGGUAUAAAACCCUUAAUGAAGCCUCCCUAAGCAUUGGUGAGUAAGGGUAAUAAUUCCCUCUCUUUAGGGUUUUCAUAAUGAUUAAAUAAAUAUGUUUUACUGUUAUUACUGUUAUUUAUAUUAUUAAUGUAUCUGUGAUUCUCAACUCUAUUUAGAUAAAUGACACUACACUAUAAACAUUGUUUACAGCUUUCAGAUAAUGCAUAAGUGCUCUAAGUGGGAAAUAAAUGUCUUAGAAAAAUAAUGAGAAAGUAAAGUUUUAUUACUUCUGGAUAUUGGGUAUAUAUCUAAUCUAGCAUUUUCCAUACUGAGCAAAUAGAUGCUGUCCUACAGUACUGGUGAAUAUUUGUGAUGUAUUUCUAGUUGUCAAUAUUUAAUUCAAAUAAUAACUAUAAUUCUUUCUGUGGGUACUUACGUAAACAAACCGCAUAUUCUUCAGGUUAAUUUUCCAACAUUAUUUUCCCCAAUAUUAGUUUUCUUGAGGACUUGUUCUAAGUUGAAAGUCCAUAAUUCAGUUUUUUCUACAUCUCAAACAUGUGACAAACUUUCUUCAGAGUACAAUAAGGAUAUUUGAGAGCAUUUACACAAUCAGAGAAUUUGACCAUUAGGAGAAACUUUUGUAUUACUUCAUAGAUAAAAUAUUGUUUACAGAUAAUAAUAUUUUAUUUAUUUUGUACAUAAGAAAACUGAAGUUCCAGUAUUAGGUAAUGUUUAUUAACAUGAUGGACAGGUAUGACAUUCUCUUUUUUUAUACCCACAGUCUUCCACAGGAUUCCCUGGUCAUUUCCCUUCGUUCAGGGGGACUUAAAAAUAUUCAGGAAUAUUGUGUUAUUCGUAGGCCCGUGCGUGAAGUUGGCAGAGGGCUUCCGCAUGAGGGCAGCUCAUCCAUGGAAUCCUUACCUCUUGUGUAUUCAUGGUUUCUCUGUCUCUUUUAUAUUUUCAUAUCAUUUUCACUCCUGUUUUGAAUCACUACAGUCUUUCUUUUUCUUUUACCCAAAGCCUGGCACAAAAUAGGGUGCUCUGGUUCACGUUCCAGGUAGUUUGAGUCUCUCUCUCUCAUAUAUAUGCUUCAGGCUGAUACCUCUCAAUAACUUGCCCUCACACAAAGAGCAAACAAGUACAGCAGACAAGAGCAUACAAGGUUCUUAUGGGCCAUGAUGUGAUGUCUAAUACAUAAUCUUGCCAUUAACCUAGGUAAUUGCAUAAUUUUACUGAAUAAUUUCCAGCACAUUGCAAUUACAUCAGUUUAUGACACCACUUAUCACAGCUUGGAAGUAGGCAGGGCCCAAGACUUGCUCUAAAACAAUAGGAUGUUAAAAUGAGAUGGGGUAUCUCCUUCUUCAUUAGGUUACAGUAUAGAACAAAGGUAUGGGAUGUCAUUCUUACCUUAGCUGAAAAGUCUUAGAGAAAGAUUUUUCUCUGUUGUUGACCUGAAGAAGUAAGCUACCACACCGUACGUGAACCUAGGGAGAGGUCCAGGUGGCAAAGAACUGCAGAUAGCCUUCAGCUGACAGCAAGCAAUCCGACACCUCAGUCACACAGCAGCCAAGAAGUGAAUUAUGCCAACAAACCGAAAAGGCUUGUGUACACAUUCACCCAGUCCAGCCUCCAGAGGAUAAUGCAGCCUAACACCUUAAUUGUAGACUUGUAAGACCCUAAGCAAGGGCCCCAGCUAGGCUGUGCCCAGACUCCUGACUCACAGAAAUUAUGAGAUAAUAACUGUAUGUUGUUUUAAGCUGUUAUAUUUGCAAUAAUGAAUUACAUAGUAACGGAAAAGUUAUAAAAUCAGCCAAGUCAAGUUGCAAUCAUUUGAGCUGCUUUACCAUUUUCUAUGUUACUUGUUCAUAAACAGUUGCAAUUUGAUUUUUGAAUUUUGUAAUGAAUAAAAAUAUUUCUGGAUUGGAGGAUGAUUGUGGCAUUCGUCAGGUUUUUUUAAUUUUCAAUUUGUAAAAUUUGUGAUUUAUUUUAUAAAUCUAAAGCAAUACUCACUUUCACACAUAAUUCUGUAGUAUGUUUCUUAAUGAGGGCUUGCAAAAUUUUAUCUGCUUUGGCCCUUCAAAUUUUAGAUUCACUCCAAAACAGUAGUCACACUUUCUGGUUCUUGAACAGUUUUAUACAGUGGACUGUGAGGUCCUUGAGCAUCUGAUCAAACCCAAAACCUAGCAGCAUUGAGUUCAGGGCCAUGCACAGAAAUGUCAGGACUGUUUGUUAACAUGGUCUAGCCCAUAGUUUGUAACCAUUUCUGCGAGAGGGAAUCGCCUAUGGUACUUUUCUAGAAACAGCUUUAUUAAGAUUUUAUUUCUAUAUAAUAAGUUUCACCCAUUUAAAGUAUACAAUUCAGUGGUAUUUAGUAUCUUUUCAGAGUUGUGCAACUGGUAUAGUUUGCUAGGGCUCCCAUAACAAAAUACCUCAGACUGGGUGGCCUUAACAAUAAAAAUGUAAUUCGUCACAAUUCUGGAAGCUAGAGGCUCAAGGUCAACUGUUGGCAGGUUUGGUUUCUUCUGAGGCCUUUCCCCUUGGCUUACAGAUGGCCGCCACCUUGUCACUGUGUUCACAUGGUCAUCUGUGCAGGCGUGAAUCUGGUGUCUCUAUGUCCUAAUCUCCUUUUCUUGGUGUUCACAAGAACACCAUGUGAAUUUUGUUACCGUUUUUCCCAUUUCCCUGUUGACUGCCUUCCUUCCCUUAUCUCUCAUGGAUCUUCCUCACAUAAGCUUUCCACUGAGCUCUUUGUUAUUUUUUUAGGCCUCCAACUUCCUGCCUAUCUUCUUCCUCUGACUUUUUUUUUUUUUCUCCUUCGCCUCCUUGUCUCAUCUUCUUUCCUUUUUCUUUCUCCUUAACCUCAGUUCAGAGUAUCUUCCAAAGAAAUGAUGAAAUGUUGGACUACAGAAGUUAGAAGACCUUUAAAUUUUCUGUGUAACUCAAAUAUAACACAUGCUUCAUAAAAGUCUGGCUCCUCGUUGAUAAAAAGCACAUUAUUUUUGAAGUGCUCUUGGAAUUGAAAAUAUGUUUCCUUUGAAUGCAACCCUGUUCAAAGAUAGGAUACAUCAAGACUUCACUUUAUGUGUUAAUUGCAUAUCUUUAUAAUUUAGUACUAUGCAGUCAUAAAAAUGAUGCUAGAAAAGUUAAAUGUAACUUCUGGUCUGUACAGGAUGGCAUAGAUUUGUCUCCUCAUGCUCUUCCCUACUACAUACCAUUAUAAACUCUGGAGGAAACUGAAGAGACAGCAAACGAUAACUGAAAGUUGGUAAAGAAUGGGGAACUUGUUUGGGACCCCAGCAUGGGCGUGGGGGGGAACAAUACAGCAGCCGGUAUCUUACAGUCCCCACCCAAUAUAAGAAGAUUUCCAGCUCUGGCAUUUCUUGAUGGCAGCCUAGAACAGAGUGUGGCCCAGGUAGGGAAACUUCUCUUCCUGACUGAUCAGGAGUCCCAUCCGCAGUGCCGGGGGACACUGAUUGAAUCACAAGGGACAGAUUGGGAAGAGCCCCUGACUUUAAAUAGCCAGAGGAAGUGCUCUUCUUCCCUCUCAGGCCUGAGACUGUGCUCUUCCUCCCAGAGACAUCAGGUAGUUAUAGGACGUCAACCAGGGGGAUCCCACCACAGGUGUCUAGACCAUGAAGUGCUCUUAUCUCCCACAGGGCAUGAGACUCUUCUCCCGAGCCCGGAAACGUCAUUUAGCUGGCAAGACUGGCAAAAGGUAUCAUAAUAAGACAAACACCCAACCUGGGAAAUGUUCACUGUCCCAUGUGCUAGAGCAUCUCUUCUCUAUAGGCAAGAGGCACUCAGCCUGGGGAAGCUCCUUCAACUUCUUGAAACAGCUACAGCUGGGACCAGUGAUGACUGCAGGUCACAAAUAAAGACAAGCAGCAGAUAGCAAAAUAGCACUGUAUUGGUUCUGAAAAUAAUAGGGUUAUUGGAACCAUGGCCUAUAGAAUUAGGCCAGAGAUAGACAGGGGACUGCCUCCUAAAACAAAAAAAUUAAAAAGAACCCAGGGCCUCCUUAUAAAGAAGCCAAAAUGUCCAGGAUACAAUUUUUUAAAAGUCACUCAUUACAGGAAAAUCACAACUUGAAUGAGGAUAGAAAAUUAAUUGAUAACUAACACCAAGAUGAAUCAUAUAUUGGAAUGAUCUCACAAAGAUGUCAAAACAAUCAUCAUAAAAAUUAUUCCUUAAACAAUUACAAAUUCUCUUCAAGGAGAUGGAAAAAUAGAAAAUCUCAGCACAGAAACAGAAGGACCAAAAUGGAAAUGGUAGAGCUGAAUACAGUAACAGAAAUUUAAAAACAAACAAACAAAAAACAUGCUACAUGGGUUCAGUAGUAGAGUGGAAAUGAGAGAGGAUAGAAUCUAUGAACUUUAUGUAACUGACCCAAUCCAAACAACAAAGAGGAAAUUGAUGAAAAGAAAAUGAACAGAACCUCAAGGACCCAUGGGACCAUAACAAAGAACCCAAAAUAUUUGUUAUCAGAGAGGACAAAAGGAUAGAGAUUGAAAGAGUAUUAAAAAAAAAAAAAAACAAUGACUAAAAACUUCCCAAGUUUUGACAAAAUAUGUAAAUCCACAGUUUCAAGAAGCUGGCAUGUGUGUCUGCAAGAAAAAUCCCAAUAUAAGUCUACAUACCAAUUAAACAAAACUCCUAGGACUAAUGAAUGAGUUUGAGUUCAGAAAGGUCACGGGACGCAGAUCAAGCUAUAGAAAUCAAUAGCAUUUGUAUGUACUAAGAAUGAGCAUGUAGGAAACAAAAUUAGAAAUAUGAUACCAUUUACAAUGACUCCAAGGAGGAUAAGACUUAGGUAGUCUUUUCCAGGCCUUGAUUUUAGGCAGAAUGAUAACUCACAGUUUAUUCAUAAAUUUCAUAAACAUGCACAAGAUCUGUAUGCUGAAAGUUACCAAAGAUAUAAAUAAAGAGAUGGGUAUACUGUUACAUUGUAUUGGAAGAGUCAACAUAGUAAAGGCAUUCUCCCCAUAUAGAUGUAUAAUUUUAAUGUAAUGCCUCUUAAGUUUCCAAAAAACUUGUUUUGUAGACAGGCUUAUUCUAAAAUUUGUAUAUAAAGGCAGAGGUCCUAGAAGAGCUAAGAAAAGAAAAUUACGAAAAAGAACAAAGAGGUAGAACUCCCUCUACCCAGUGUUAAGGCCUAAUAUGUGGCUCUACUAAUGAGGACUGUGUGGUAUUGGUGGAGGCAGUCACAUAGAUGAAUGGAACAGAAUAUGCAAUCCAAAAAUAGAUCCACACAAAUUUAUUCAACUGAUUUUUUUACAAAGGUUAAAAAAAAAAAGUUCAAUUGAGGAAGGAUAGCUUUUUUUUUUUUUUUUAAUAUUUAUUUUUGAGACAGAGAGUGUGAGCAGGGGAGAGGCAGAAAGAGAGGGAGGCACAGAAUCUGAAACAGGCUCCAGGUUCUGAACUGUUAGCACAGGGCCCGACACGGGGCUCAGACUCACGGACUGUGAGAUCAUGACCUGAGCCAAAGUUAGAUGCUUAACCGACUGAGCCACCCAGGCGCCCCUAGCUUUUUCAAUAAAUGUUGCUGGAGCAGUUGGACAUCCACAGACAAAAAUAUAAAUCUCAGCAUAAACCUCAUGCUUUGCACAAAAAUACCUCAAAAUGCAUGAGAUAUUUUAAUGUAAAAAUGUAAAACUAUAAAAUUUUUAGGAAAAUGGAGAAAGUUUUUAAGAUCUAGGACUAGGCAAAGAGUUCUUAGACUUGACAACAAUAUCACAAUACAUGUAGAAAAAAUUGAUAAAUUGGACCUCAUCAAAACUAAAACAUACUGGUUUGCAAAAGUGUCUGUAAAGAAAGUAAGAAGAUAAGCUAAGAUUGGGAGAAAAAUUUGCUAAUUACAUAUCCCAAAACGGGCAACUAUCUAGAACAGAUAAAGAACUCACAAAACUCAGUAGUGAAGGAUAAACUGUUGUCUAGUAUUCUAUGUUGAGUGAAAAUAUGCUUUAGAAAUAAAGAUGGCAUUAAGAUAUUUCAAGGUAAAGUGGAAAUUGUCACUACUAUACCCGGACUACAAGAAAUGCUAAGGAAAGUCUUUCAGGCUGAAGGGAAAUUAUGCCAGCUGAAAACUUGUAUAUCCAUGAGGAAUAAAGAUCAUUGAAAUGGCACAUGGAAAGACCUUUUUCUCUUAAGUCCUUUAAAUUCUUAUGAAUAAUUACACCAAAAAUUAUAACCCCAGAGGAAUUUGUAACAUAUAGAAGAGAUUCUACAUAUGACAAUUGUCACAAAAAUGAUUAAAUGGACCCACAUAUUUUUAGUGUUUCUACAUUAAUAUGAAGUACUAUAAUAUUAGCUUUAAUAGGCUGUGAAAAGUUAAGGGUAUGUACUGUUAUCCCAGAAAAAAAAAAACACUAAAAAUUAGAUAUGAAUAUAACUAAACAUUCGAUAGAUUUAUUAAAAGCCAGAAAUUUUCAGUAUGGAUAAAAAAAAAAAGAAUUGACUAUAUACUACGUAUAGAUGUUACACUUUAAAACAAAGAUACAAGGGCCUCCUGGGUGGUUCCGUUGGUUAAGCGUCCAACUUCAGCUCAAAUCAUGAUCUCAUGGCACCUGGGUUUGAUCCCCAUGUCAGUCUCUGUGCCGACAGCUUGGAGCCUGGAAGCUGCUUUGGAUUCUGUUGUCUCCCCCUCUCUCUGCUCCUCCCCACACACACUCUGUCUCUGUCUUUCUAAAAAAUAAAUAAAUGUUUAAAAAAAUUUUUUUAAUUCCUUAUAAAAAAAAUAAAGAUACAAAAACCACCAAAGACCUUGAAUAGCCAAAGCGACCUUGAAUAGCCAAAGCAACCUUGAAAAAGCAAAGCAAAGCUGGAGUCAUCACAAUUCCAGAUUUCAAGUUAUAUUACAAAGCUGUAGUAAUCAAAAUAUUAUGGUACUGUCACAUAAAUAGACACAUAGAUCAAUGGAACAGAAUAGAAAACCCCAAAUGAACCCACAACUAUAUGGUUCAUUGAUCUUCAACAAGGCAAGGAAGAACAUCCAACGGGAAAAAGAAUGUCUCUUCAACAAAUGUUGGGUGUUGGGAAAACUGGACACCAACAUGCAAAAGAAACUGGAGCACUUUCUUACACCACAAACAAAAAUAAAUUUAAAAUGGAUUGAAGACCUAAAUUUGAGACCUGAAACCAUAAAAAUCCUAGAAGAGAACGUGGGCAAUAACUUCUUUGACAUCGACCAUAGCAACUUCCUUCUGGAUAUGUCUCCUGAGGCAAGGGAAACAAAAGCAAAAAUAAACUGUUGGAACUUCAUCAAAAUAAAACCUUCUGCACAGUGAAGGAAACAAUCAAUAAAACUAAAGGGCAACCUAUGGAAUCAGAGAAAAGAUUUGCAAAUGACAUAUCUGAUAAAGAGUAUCCAAAAUAUAUAAAGAACUUAUAACAACACCCAAAAAAUGAAUAAUCCAAUUAAAACAUGAGCAGAUGACAUAAACAGACAUUUUUUCCAAAGAAGACAUCCAGAUGGCCAACAGACACAUGAAAAGAUGCUCAGCAUCACUGAUCAUCAGGAUCAUGCAAGUCAUGCAAGUCAAAACCACAAUGAUAUAUCACCUCACACCUGUCAGAAUGGCUAACAUCAACAACAAAGGAAACAGUAGGUUUUGUCAAGGAUGUGAAGAAAGGGGAACCUUCCUGCACUGCUGGUGGGAAUGCAAACUGGUACAGCCAUGCUGAAAAACAAUAUGGAGGUUCCUCAAAAAGUUAGAAAUACCGUAGGAUCCAGCAAUUGCAGUACUAGGUAUUUACCCAAAGAAUACAAAAAGUCAGAGGGAUACACGCACCCUGGUGUUUAUAGCAGCAUAAUCUACAAUUGCCAAAUUAUGAAGCCAGCCUAAAUGUUUAUUAAUGGGUGAGUGGAUAAAGAAGAUGUGGUGUAAAUAUACAAUGGAAUAUUACUCAGCCAUAAAAAGAACGAAAUCUUGCCAUUUGCAGCAACAAGGAUGGAGCUAGAGAGUAUUAUGCUAAGUGAAAUAAGUCAAAGAAAGGCAAAUACCAUAUGAUUUCACUCCUGUAUGGAAUUUAAUAAAACAAAUGAGCAAAGGGGAAAAACAGAGAGGCAAGCCAAGAAACAGACUCUUAAUUACAGUGAACAAACUGAUGGUUACCAGAAGGGAGGUUAGUGGGGGGAUGGGUCAAAUAGUUGAUGAGUAUUAAGGAGUGCACUUGUGAUCAGUACUGGUUGUUGUAUGGAAGUGUUGAAUCACUAUAUUGUGCACCUGAAACUAACAUUGCACUAUAUGUUAACUGUAAUUUAAAUAAAAAUUUAAAGAUACAGAAAGACUGAAAUUUAUGAAUGGAAAAAUGUACCAAGAAAACAGUAAGCAUAAGAAGGCUGGAGAAAUGAUAUCAAUAUCACAAAAAGUUGUAUUUAAGUAAAAGAUAUUAUCAAAGAUAAAUAAGGGCAUGUCAUAAUAAUAAAAUAUUCUAUAUCUUGAAUAAAGAUAUAAUAUAGAAAGAUACAGCAAUCUUCAGUAUACCUGAAAACAGCCUUAUGAUUCAGGAAAAAAUUUGAAAGAAUUAAAAGAAGAAAUGGACAUUUCCACAAUCAUAGUUGGAGAUUAAAAAACCUCUCUCUCAGUAAUUGAUAGAACAAUGAGAACGAUAGAUAGAUAGAUAGAUAGAUAGAUAACCAAGAUCUGAAUAGCACUAUUAACUAAGCCUAAUUGAUAUUUCCCAAGAACUACAGAAUACAUGUUCUUUUCAAUUAUAAAUGAUAUAUUCACUAUGAUAUAUCGUAUGCAGGGCUAUAAAACAAGUCUCAGUAAACCUAAAAGAAUUGAAAUCCUAGAGUAUACCCUCUGGCAUUAUUGGAUUAAAGUAUAAAUUACUCAUAAAAUAUCUUUAAACUGGCAAUAUUUGAAAAUUUAAACACCAUAUUUCUAAUCUAUGGAAGAAAGAAGAAAUCAAAAGAGAAAGGAUAAUGAAUUAUAAUAAUACAACAUAUCAAAAUUUGUGUGGUACAGCUAAAAUAGUACUUUCAGGAAAAUUUGUAUCUUAAACUAUUUAUAUUAGAAAAAUUUCUUUAGAGGGAACCAUUUAAGACCCCACCUAAGGAAGUAAAAACUCAAAGUACACAUAACGAAGAAAAUAAAUAUAUCCGAACUCAAUGAAAUUUAAAUAUAAAUGGAAAACCUCAACAAAAUAAACCUACCUAGACUUACCAUGAAGCAAAAGAAAUUAUGAUUAUCAGUAAUUGAAUAAACAAGAUAAAGUAUAUAAAUAUCUUGAAAAUAUAACUAUGCAACUUCACAAAACUAAUGCAGGAUAUAGUAGAAAAUGUAUAUGGCCUGUGUCUAAUACUGGAAUUGAAUUUCUUAUUGAAAUCUUUCCACAAGGAAAUCUCCAGGUUAAGAUGGUUCGCUGAUUAAUUCUAUCAAAUACUUAAGAAAUAAUACCAAUAUUACAAAAUUCUUUGAGAAAAUACAAAGAGAAACACUUUACAAUUGGUUUUAUAAAGCCAGUAUAACUUUAGAUUUGAAACCUGACAAAAAUAUUACCAAAAAAGGAACACUCUAAACCAAUAUCUCUCAUAAACUAAGUCACAAAAGAUUUUUAACAAGAUACUAAGAAAUCAAGUCGAGUGAUUUAGAGAGCAGAAGAAUACAUCUUGAUCAGAGAAGUUCAUUCUAAGAAGGCAGGGCUGGUUUGACAUUCAUAAGUCAACCAAUGUAAUUCACCAUAUUAACAAUAAAAGACAAAGUCACUAUGAUCAUUUCAAUAGAUUGAAAAAAGCAUUUGACAAAAUUCAAAGUUUAUUCAUGAUAACUCUCAGAAAAGUAGGAAUAGUAAAACUUUCUCAACCUGACAAGUGGCAUCAAAGAAGCUACUUAAUGCUGAAAUAUUUAGUGCUUUUCCACCAUGAUCUGUAAAAAGCCAGGAUGCCCACUCCCACCAUUUCUACUGAACCUUAUGCUGGAGGUCCUAACUGAUUGCUCUAAGGCAAUAAAAUAUUUAAAAGGCCUAAAACUCAAAAACAAAUAAACUUGUCUCUAUCUGUAUAUGACAUAAUUUUUAACAUAGAAAAAACUUAGGAAAAUACAAUUAAGAUACCAAAAAUAAUAAAUGAGCUAGCAAGGUCACAGUAUACAACUAAAAGUCAAUUGCAUUUAUAUAUACUAAUAACAAAAAAAAAGUUGGAAAAUAAAAUUAAAGAAAUAAUUCUAUUAUGUUGGCAUCAAAAAUCAUAAAAUAUUUGGAAAUAAUCUCUCAAAAGAUAUAAAGGACAUUUGCACUGAAAACUGUAAUACAAUGAUGAAAGUUGAUAAAGGAGACCUAAAUAAUUAGAGUCCACAUAAUGAAGUUUAUUGAUUUUGAAGACCUAAGGUCAUUAAGAUAUCAAUUCACUCCAAAUUGGUCUAUAGAUUGAGUUCAAUUCCAACACAAUCCCAGCAGGUGCUUUGGUAGAAAUUGAUUCUAAUGUUUAUGCAGGAGCACAAAUGGCCUAGAAUAUCUAAAGUGAUCUUUAUAAAGAACAAAUCUGGAGGGCUUACAUUUGCUAACCUCAAGACUUACUGUAAAGCUAUGGUAAACAAGACAACAUGGAACUAGCAUAGGGCUGAUACACAGAUCAGUCCAACAGAAUAGAGAAUCAAGAAAUACAGUCAUGUAUUGGUAGUAAAUUAAGUUUUGACAAGGUGCCAAACGAAUCCAAAGAGGAUAGAAAAAUCUUUUCAGCAAAUGGCUGGAACAACUACAUAUCCAUAUGGGAAUAAUUAACCUCAACGACUAAUACCAAACACAAAAAUUAACUCAAGCUAAAAUAUAUUAGCUAAAUCUAUAAAGCCUAAAACCUAAGCAUAGUUUAGUAUCUUUGUAAUUUUGACCUAAGUAAAGAUUUUGCAGCAAUAACUGUAAAAGCAAGAAAGUAAAUUAGACUUCAUGAAAAACAAAAACUUCUAUCAUUAAAAGACAUUUUUAAAAAUGUAUAGGUUACUCAGAGAGAAAAAAAUAUUAACAAACAUGUAUCUGAUAGAAGACUGGUAGUCACGAUAUAUUUUAAAAAGCUCUUAAAACUUAAUAAUUAAAUGACAAAAAAUGGAUCAAAGUAAGCAAAAUAUUUCAACAGACAUUUGGCUAAGAAGUACAAGUGUCCAAUAAGCACAUAAAAAUGUUCAGUAUUGCUUAAGGCAGGAAAAUGUCAAUUAAAAUCAUGAAAAGAUACCCAGACAUCUCAUCAGAAUGGUUAAAACAAAAAAGAAUGGGUUAACUAAUGACCUAACUGUUGGAGAGAAUGUAGAGUAGUUAUGCCUCUCAUACAUUAUUGAUGGGAAUAUAAUACGAUACAACCACACUGGAAAAAGCUCUGGCAAUUUUUUUAUGAAACUAAACAUAUGUUUAUUUUUUGACACAGUAAUUCAAUUCCUAAGAGAAAUGAAAACAUAUGUCUGCAAAAACACUUGUACAAAAAUGUUUAGAGAGUUUUAUUCAUAACAGCUAAAGCCUGGAAAGAGCUUGAGUUUCCGUGAGAAGACAAUGGAUAAAGAAUUGUACUGUAUUCAAACAAUGAAACACUUCAUAGUAAUAAAAAGAAUGAACUAUUGGUACAUACAACAGCAUGGACUAAUCUCGAAAAUACUCUGCUGAAUGAAAGAAAAAAAGCUCCAUAUCUAGAGUCCAUACUGUAUGAUUCCAUGUAUAGAAUCAAUAAUUUGAUAGGCAACAAAUUUCUAUGGUAAGAAAAAAAUCAAAACAGUUGUUGCCAGUAAAGGGUGGGGCAGGACUCUACUUGGAAGGAGCAUGAGGAAGCUUUCAGUGCCGAGGCUAACAUUCAGUAUCUUGAUAACGGUGUAGGUUACGCAAGUGAAUAUAUUUGUAAGAACUCAACAUGUGGUACACUUAAGAUUUAUACAUUUUACCAUAUAGAAAUUUUACCUUUCAAGAAAAAAAGGAACCCAAUACAAAUAUUGGAUAAUAGUUAAUCACAGGCAUGCUGCAGUAUCUAGUAGAAGUGUAUUGGUGUUUUCAACUUACUGUGAUAUACAUUAAAAAAAUUAAGCUUUAAUUGAUGGGUGAAGGAAUAGAUGGAUGAUGAAGCAACUAUAGUAAAAUGAUCAUUGUAAAAUCCAGAUCAUGGAUAUAUGAGUGUUUGAUGUAAUGUAUUUCAACUUUUCUGUGUAUUUGAAAAUUUUUACAAUUAAAUAUUGGGAAAAACCAAUGCAUCUGUUGUUUUAUUAAUAAAAUCCAUUUCAUUAGUCAAGUGGAACACAAUACUCAAAGUAAAUUUAGUCAGAGAGAAUGCAUAUAAGAUUUUAUUUGUUUUGCAAUUUCCAAAUGUUUAGUGUUUCGCUAAUACGUAUACCUGCAACGCUUGUUGGCAUUAUUAUUUAGUUUUGUUGUUAUACAAUGGUGAUUGUUAUAUAUGAUUAUGCAUUCAGUGAUAAUGUAUCUUAAAUGAUGUUGAAUGGUAGUGGUUGAUGGUUUUGAUAGUGUCAAUACUCCUACUUAAGCAGAUUUUAAGUCACUGAGUGCAGAGUUAGGAAGAGAUGCUCACAGUUGGUUCUUGUGAGCCUGUGCAAGCUGACCCCAACCUACCUCUGUUCUGACUUCAUCAAACCAGUUAGGGAUUGUUAUGGACCAAACUGUGCCCCUGCAAAAUUCAUAUGUUGAAGUUCUAACCCCCCGUGUGACUGUAUUUGAGAAAGGGUCUUUAUUUUUUUUUUAUUUUUUUAACGUUUAUUUAUCUAUUUUGAGAGAGAGCUUGUGUGCACAUGGGGGAGAGGCAGAGAGCGAAGGAGAGAGAAUACCUAGCAGGCUCUGCGCUAACAGCACAUGGGGCUUGUUCUUAGGAACCGUGAGGUCAUGACCUGAGCCAAUAUCAAGAGUUGGACACCUAACCUAACAACAGCCACCCAGGUGCCCCAGAGAUAGGGCCUUUAGAGAGGUAAUUAUGGUUAAUGAGGUUAUAAGGGUGGAGCCCUAAUCCAAUAGGACUGGUGUGUUAUAAAAAGAAAGAGAUACAUGAGAGUUCUUUCUCUCCACAUGUGCACAGAAGAAAACCCAGGUGAGGACACAGAGAGAAGGCAGCCAUCUGUAAGCCAGGAAGAAAGUUCUCAUCAGAAACCAACUUUGAUGGGGGAGCCUGAGUGGCUCAGUCGGUUAAGUGUCCGACUGCUCAGGUCAUGAUCUCACCAUUCCCAAGUUCAAGCCCCAUGUCAGGCCCUGUGCUGACAACUCAGAGCCUGGAGCCUGUUUCAGAUUCUCUGCCUUCCUCUGUAUCUCUGCCCCAUCCCCAUUCAUGCUCUGCCUCCUCAAAAACAAAUAAACAUUAAAAAAUAAUAACAAGGGGGGGGGGGAAGAAACCAACUCUGAGGACACCUUGAUCUUGAAACUUGAGCUUCCAGAGCUAUAAGAAAAUGAGUUUCUGUUGCUUAAACCAUCCAGUCUGUGGCAUUUUAUUAUGGCAGCCCUAGCAGAGCAGUAUGCUAAUCAUGCUUUAUUUCCUGAAAGAACACUGUCAGAUUAGCAUUGCUAUUUCCUCUUAAAUUUUUUUAAAGAUUCACAGGAUUUUGAUUGGCGAGUUUGGACCCUGAUCCUAUCAAUUUUGAAAAUUACGUGUUGUGAUGCACAAAAAUCUUCCUCUUCUACAAGAAAGAUGACCUCAACCACACUGUCUUUCAAAAGAUACUCUUGUUUAAUGUGAGUGCCAUAUUCCAACUCUAGUUGGAAUAUGUCUUUAUCUAGCAUUGGCUAGAUAACUAGCAGUACUUUUUGUCAAAUGCUGUUGAAGAAGGAUUUAUGCUAAUAGUAAUUCACUUUGUCUUAUGAUAAGACAUUAAUUUAAUCAGUGGCUCAUUUUUCUCUUAAGCUAAAGCUUUAGGUAAAUCAUGUUGGGAAAAUAAAACCCAGAGGCAGAAACUAAUUGUAAACAUUGCUUUUAGGUAAUGAAGCACUUACACAUCAAUUUUGGGGAUUCAUUAAGUUUUUGGAGGGGACACGUAAGUUUUUUCACGUAAACUCAUAUGAAAAACAAAUAAUUGGGAUUGAAAUAUGUAAUUGCCAAAGUCAUGAAAUAUGGGGAGAAAUUUGGCAAUUCAUUUAAUUUCACCAAACACUUCACUAAAAUAUUGUUAAAUAUUGGUGCUCCAAAGAUUUAAAAAAUGAACAAAAAUAUGUUCUACUACUUAAAGUAGUCUACUAGAGGAGAAACACAUUUAAACCUGUCCCAGGUGAUAAAGGCGAUUAACAAGGUAUAUAUCAGGUGCUGUAGGAACACAAUGAGAGAUUAAUACACUCUUUCUAGGUAGAAGACAGUCCAGAAACAGUGUUAUAGUUUCUCUCUCUUCCUAUCUCUCAGCUUUUGUAUUUUGAAGAUAACUGCUGAGAAGGGUCAACAUAUCCCUUCAGGAAACUAGAGGAAGUUACAUUUGUCUCAAGUCCUGUGGUUUGCUCAAGCCAAAAGACCAUUCUAGAUAACUAUAGAAAAAAACAGUGGGGUGCCUUUCUUUGGAGAAUUCCAGAAAAGAAAAAGAGAAAACUGAUGUCUGAGAGGUGAAGCUGUUUUACCAAAAUGAAAAGAAAUGAGUCACUCCCAAAGAUGUUCAGGAACAAUUAUGCUAGUUGAUACGUCUAGAUUUUGUGACACUCAUUGCAAACAUGAAGACUCUUUAAAAAGCUGUGCAGGACUUUUCCAGAAGCAGGACCAGCUACAUAAUUCUGGGCCCAGGGCAAACUGAAAGUGCUAGGUCCCUUGAUUAAAAUUAUUAAGAAUUUCAAGGAGGCAACAGUAGGCUUUAAAUCACAUGUGGUGCCCUGGGCAAUUGCACUUGCUCUGGGGUCCUGGAAGCCAGUCCUGGCCAGAGGACAGUAUCACUCUAAAUAUUGAAGCAAGCGAAGUAUUCCCCAUUUCUGUCUGGUGUAGGCAAUUACAGGCUUCGGAAUGUAAUAAAUGUAGAUCUGAGUCCUGGCUCCAUCACUUAUCAGCUCCUGGGUUUGGGGCAAGUUAUUUUCAGUUUCCUCACUGAAGUGUAGUUCUGCAAAUUAAGCUUCUAUUGCAAGUUCCAGCAUCACGUAAAUUACACGUGUGAAUUUUAUUCUGGUGACUCUACAAAUAACUACGUGUAUUACUAAAUAAGAAUUAUGAAAAUUAAUGAUUUAGAAAUCUUGCUAUUAGUUUCAGAACAAGAAUUACACUAACUGAAACACUUUUUUUUUUCUCUUCUUUAUUUUUCCCCUCUUGGCCAUCAGUUUCAUUCCUCAUCUCAGUUGUAACCUGCCAAGCACAAGUUUGAUUAACCAUAAAAAUCAUUUCAAGAUCAGAAAUAUUUCUUGUUUAAACAAAAGUUAUGUAUUUGGGAUUAAAGAACAUAAUGUCAUGGACAUUAUAUAUUCCACAUAUUGUAUUCUUCAUGGUAAUCUUUCACCAUUACUUUUUGAUAUUCAUAGAUACAUUUAACGUACAUAGUGCUUAACAGUUGUAAAAAUCUAUCUACGUUUUAUCUGUCACUGCUGUACAGAAAAAUAGGAGUACUGGUUCCUGCCUGUGGACCUCUCUCUCUGGGUAGUAUGGCAACUUCCUUCACUGUCUCCAGGUCCUAGAAAGCUGGAUUUUCUGGUACAUCAUUAAAAAACUGGCACCAAGGUUCAAGGUAUCUAUUCCCUGAGCAAGAUCACUGUUAUGUUCUCUCCAUUAAAAAGAGACAGCAGCAAAGGGCGAGUACUUCUGCCAGUACCCAGCCCUGCUGUCCAAGCACACUCCUCUAGGAAAUUGCAAAAACAGGAGACUCAUGCUCCUGCUGACACUCUGAGUUCCCAUGUGCAUUAUGCGAUGCUUGCUGCUGUGUGCCCCCAGCCUUUACAAGAUAGACCUUAAGUCAUUGUUGGAUAACAGGGGCAUGAAUUAUUCAUCUCGUUUUACCAAUGAGAAACACAAAGUCAGAUGGCUGAAAUGAAAUGCCCAAAGUCACAAAUCUAAUGAGAGAAUUGACGUGGCAUUUGACCUUCCUAUUCCAGGAUAAUUCAUCAGUGAUGUAGGUUCCUGAAUAACAAUAGUUGACAUACUACUUUGUACUAGAUGCUCUCACAGGCAGUUUAUAUUUACUGACAUUUAAUCCUGCAACACACCUCUAGAACAGGUACCAAUAUUGCCUAUUCUUUACAGAGAAAGCAACUGAGGAAAGGGGAAGUUUUGUGAUUUCCUCAAGGUCUGUUUGUAAGUUGCAAAGCUGGAGUUCAAAAGUAGCUGAUCUGGGUCCAGAGUCCCUGCUCCCACUCUCUAGCUGUACUUAAACUCACUUGCUAGCUCAGGAGGUGCUGGGACAACUGUCUGACCAUAGCUCUUCCUGGGCCACAUAACCAGUUUAUUCUGAGGGAAAGGUAAAGAGGGAUCUCCCCAUCAGGACUCAGGCUGAUGUUCAGGGCGUUGCCAGGAGGGGAGGGCAGGGCAGGAUUUGUGACCGAAGUCACUUGUUAGUGCAGGUUGUAAGGCCAAAGGUAGUAGAACUGCAGACAGUUAAUGGUUUAAGUCUGUAGUCUUCAACCUAUCAGACUGAUGAAAUACUUGAUACACUCGAUAAUUAAACACAUAUUGUUUUCAUGCCCCCCACUAGGCAUUCAAAGUCAUUCAGGAUGCCAACAAACAUUCUUUGUGCACGAUUGUCCUAUGCAUUGCAGGAGGUCUAGCAUCUCUGGCCCCUGUCCUUUCAAUAUCAGCAAUGUGCCUGUGAAAGUGACAACUACAAGGGCUCCCUAAAGACCCCCUCUCAUCUCCAAUAUGAACUCUGAGAUAUGAUUCAUUCUGUGCUAAGAAUCAGCAGUAUAUAUCCAUGCAAAGCCUUGAGGGGUAAUCUAGAAUUAGGAUCCACAGGCAAUUCAUCUGUGCCUCACCGGGUUGUACCUCAUAUCUUUAUGUGCCUGGUUUUGAAGCAAUUCCCAGUUUCUGAAGGAAUGCCCUAAAUUUCUCCUAAACAAGAUCCCUAUUUUCUUUCAGCUCUUGAUUCACAAGCCAUAUGAGAGAUUCUGAGCUCAUUCAUGUUGCUAUAGCUUCAUCAAGAGCUGAGUCCCAAGAAACAAAACUUGGAAGCAAAAUGUUUGAAUGACCCUCUUCUGGGAAACAGCUAACUGGCUGGAGUGGUUGGGGUGGGUUGUAUGCAUGGAUAGAUUUGUAAAGAACAGCUAAAGCAAGAGAAGUCCCAGAAGUAACUGGUGAGAGAGAGCUGGCGAGCGAUUCUAAGUCAAAGUCCUUAAUGACUGUCAGAAAUCAGAGACAAAAUACAAAUGCCAGGUCUCCAGGGUAGAAGCAAGUGUUAAAUGAGAAAAAGGAUCAAAGGUCAGGAAACAGAUGGAGAUGGAAUUUAAGAGUUAGCUGUCCAGGAACAUAAGAGUAGGGAUGGGCUGGGAUGACAGCCAGAAUGUUGUGUGUUUGGGGCUUAUUAUCUCUGCUCAGUGGUGAUGGUUGCACAACUCUCUGAAUAUACCAAAAACCACCGAACAGCAAGCACACUUUGAAAGAGUGGCUUUCAUGGUAUGAAAAAUCUACCGAAAUAAGUCUUUUAAAAAGUAUAUGUUGGGCCAGAUAGAAAAUCAAAGAGAAAGAACGUGACAGGAAUCUGUGUACCUAGUAAUCAUAAGAUCUUUAGUGGUAACACAAAAUUUUUGUGGAUAUACAGAACUAAAAGUGAAAUUGCAUCUCUCAGCUAUGGCAUCCAGCAUUAUCAUCCAGUUAUUAUUAAGACAUCGUAGAUCUAAGAGAGCAGCAGAGGGAUUACACCGGUUUUCUUGAUCUGGAAAGCAUGAUGAUGUUAGCACCCACCCGCUGGUAUGAGAAAGUGAAGAGUUUAUUUUCCAGUCCGGGGUAUUCAGAGUCCUCAGGAAUAUCAAAAGCAUAUCCCCCCAAAUCAUAUUUUUCUGAAUUUAAUGAUAUGAUUCAUAUAAAAAUGUUUUCUUUAAAUCAUUACCUAAACUAAUUUUUUGUUCUACAAUUAUUUUGAAAGACAUAUGAAAUGUAGUUGUUAAUACAUCUCCUUUUUUUUUUUUUUUUCUUGACCAGUAUGAAGCUCAGGCAUGACUCAAUUUACUCAAGCCAAUCAUUUAAGCAGAUUAUUUAAGACUUGGCUCAGGUCUGGCAGAACACAAAUAAAUAUUACAAUGUAAAAUAAACAUAUAAUGGAUAUUAUUAGAUCAUGUCCAGCCAUGGCUAAUUUUGUGGUAGAUUGUAUCAUAGUUGCUCCUAUGCCCAAGAACGUUCUGAGUUUGUUGAAAACUUCUACAAGGUAAAGGAACAGGAAUGUGUAAACGUGGUUAAAUAAAACAAUGGUUUUAACCUCCUCUUUGGAUGUGUACCAAAGUAAUGGAGGAAGCAAUUACCACACCAGCUGACACACAAACAUUGUUUAACAAAUAUGUACUCAGUGGAUCGUUAAUUAGUUUUCAGUGUAUUGUUAAUUCAUUUUCAAAACAUUUUCAAAUGUUCUUGGAUCUUAAUCAAAAAGAGGUGAAAAUUAGAAAAAUGGAACAAACAGUAUGUCCUUGGUGACGAUAAUGCCUGUGAUAACUUUCCAUUUAGUUGGCACUCACUAAGUGACUAUUCAAGAAAUCUAGUAAAAGAUACCAUACAUCUGUCCAACCAUGUGCUAAGAACUGGGAUUACACAGGUGCCACCUUGGACACAGUCUACCCAUGAGCCCACAAAGCUAAUUGUAACAUACGGUGUGAGGAUGAUGAUAGGGAGAGGUGCCGGAGGAUCCAUAAAAAGAGGAUUUAACCCAAUGGGAUGAAGGAAGAAUAGCAGAGAGGAGUUGGAAAGGUUUGGGGAGUAAGGCCUGAGCCAAGAUUUGUAUAGCAGUUACCCAGGUAAAGGGCAGAAAUAGAAGAGGGAUGGAAGUAGAAGAAGAUUCCAAAAUAAGGGGAUGAUAUGAAAAGAGGAACAGUCUGUUCAGUCUGGCUCAGUCUGUUAAACGUCCGACUUUGUUUCAGGUCAUCAUGAUCUCACGGUUCAUGGGUUCGAGCCCCGCGUUGGGUUCUGUGCUGACAGCUCAGAGCCUGGAGCCUGCUUCAGAUUCUGUAUCUCCCUCUCUCUCUGCCCCUCCCCCACUCACGCUCUGUGUGUGUGUCUCUCUCUUUCUCAAAAAGAAAGAAAGAAAGAAAGAAAGAAAGAAAGAAAGAAAGAAAGAAAGAAAAAGAAAAAAAGAGUCAGAAGCUCAACUGACUGAGUCACCCAGGUGCCCCAAGGCAAUGAAGGAUUUAAACAGGGGACUAAUGUGGUUUGAAUUGUAUUUUGGUGACAUCAUUAAGACAAUGAUUAAGACAAUCAUUAAGACAGUUUGCAUACCUUUGUGGUAUUAAAGAAGGAAAAGAGGACAAUUAUUUGAGAGGCAAGAUCUACACACAUAUAGCAAUUGAUUAGAUGUUAGUUAGUGGAAGGUGAGUUUCAAGGAAAACUCCUGAUUUCUAGCUAAGUGCAUUAUAGUACCACCAAUCAAAACAGGAAACAUAGAAAAACAUGCCUGGGAUAAAAUCAAUUUUAUUUUGAAUCCGUUGAAUUUGGGAUGCCAUUGCCAGGCCCCGAUGGGAAUGUCUAGUAAGCAAUUGGAUAUAUGAGUCUAUAGCUGAGGACGCGCUCUCUGUGGAAUCAAGAGGUUUGGGAAUUUCAAUACAAGGGUAGUCACUGAAAACAUUUGAAAAGGUGAGAUUACCCAACAAAGAUUUGUCAAGUAAUGUAUCCUAGGGAACAUGGACAUUUAGAGGUUAUGUGGUGGGGGGGGGGGAGUUGUGAAAGAGGCAAAGAACUGCAAAAGUAUGAGAACCAGGAGGGUGUGAUGUCAAGGAGCAGAGAGCCAUGAAGGGUCAGUAAAUAAAGACUUAAUUGUUUCCAUUGAAUUUGGAAAUACAGAGGUCAUUCGUGAACUAUGCCAGAAUCAUUUCCAUGGAGAAUUAAGAAAGCAAGCCAGAUUGCAAGCAGUUGAGAAAUGAAUGGAAAAUAAGAUAGAAAUGCUUUUCAGUCGAGAAGAAGAGAAAAGUCUCCAUGGUGUAUAGGGAGAAAUGGAGACAACAGGGUACUUUUUUUCAGAUCAGGGGCAAAGCCUAAAUUUUGCCUAAGCAGAAGAAAGAAAAAAGAAAGAGUUGAAGAUAUUGGAGGUGGACAUUUCAAAAGGCUAGGUGGUUUCUGGUGCAUGUUCUCAAUCCAGAAAGAAAUAUCUAUAUAUCUGGAAAUAGCUGUCUGUCUGUAUCUAUCUGUAUCUAUCUAUCUAUCUAUCUAUCUAUCUAUCUAUCUAUAUGGCCUAAGGUCCAAAGGUUGGCACAGUAUAUUGGCACAUGUCGGCUAAUUGAGAUCGAGUCAAUGGGACCAGGCUACCACAUCUGAAUUUCACAUGUCUCCAGACUGGACUUGUUUGUUUUGUAUGUGGUAAAUAUAUUCUUGAAAUUAAGAAUGCCUUGGGCCCUUUCUUCUAUCCUGCAUUUGUGUGUGUUUGAGUGUGUUUCCAUCUGACACAUUAGCUCCCUCUCUUCUGUGUUGUUUCAAUCUUUAUAAUAUGUCUGGAUCAUUUUCACAACCAGAAAAAUAUUGAAAAUAUUUCCAUUACGAACCUAACAAGAAUCAAUGGCCUGGAGAAGUUGACUGACUUCUGACUAAAAUAUCUGACUAAAUUCAGUGGGUGGGGAACGGACAGUUUCUUUCUUGUCAUAAUAACAUGGAAGGCACCAAAUCCACAGGUAACAUACACUUAAACAAGAAAAAUAUAGGGGCUCUUGGGUGACUCAGUCGAUUGAGCAUCCAACUCUUGAUUUCAGCUCAGGUCAUGAUCUCACAGUUCAUGAGUUUGAGCCCUGUAUCAGGCUCUGGGCUGAGAGCACUGAGCCCCUGUGUCUCUCAAAAUAAAUAAAUAAACUUAAAAAAAAAAACAGGAAAAAUAUAUACAAACAUUGAAAGCAAACAAAUUCUGUGUAUUCACUGGAAGUAGCCAUUUUCAAAUGUUCUAUUAUUUUGCAUUAUUUCUUUUUAGAGCCUAUAAACAAACCUGUUUCUGGUAGUCUUAUGUCCCCCAAAUUUAAAACUCAUCACAGUAUAAUUAUGAUAGGAAGAAACAUAUUAUGAGAAUUGAACAAGAGCAGAGUAGAAAAUAGGUUAACAAGGGGCACCCGGGUGGCUCAGUCGGUUGAGCAUCCGACUUCAGCUCCGGUCAUGAUUUCACACUCCAUGAGUUGGAGCCCCGCGUCGGGCUCUGUGAUGACAGCUCAGAGCCUGGACCCUGCUUCAGAUUCUGUGUCUCCCUCUCUCUCUGCCCCUCCCCUGCUCAUGCUCUGUCUCUCUCUGUCUCAAAAAUAAAUAAAAAUACUAAAAAAAAAAAUUUUUUUAAAGAAAAUAGGUUAGCAAACUUAACAACUGUCAUAUAUUUGUGAGUAUAUAUAAUUGCUUACAAAGAAAUCUGCUAUUGGAAGCUAAGAGACAUUGUUUUCAAAAUCAUUUGAAUCAUUGUAAAAAAAUAUUCAAUAGCUCAAUUACUGUGAACUAUAUAUUAAACUACAUUUCCAGUGUUUUCUUGGGCUAUUCUUGGGCAUUUAGUUUUUUUCUUCAUGUAAUUGAAGAUCAUUUUAGCAAUUUUUUAAAAGUUAAGUGUUUUUUGUAUUAAAUUAAUAUAUUAACUUUAAAUGUAUUGAUUUUUGAAAUCUUGAGUCUUCCCAUUGAAAAGCAUUGCUUACAUUUCCUAUAUUUUACAACAAGCAUUGAAAUUUCAGUCUUCUUCAUGAAGGUUCUAUCCAUUUCUUGUUAAACGUAUUACUUUUUUUAAGAUUUUAUUUAAAUCCAAGUAGGUUAACAUAUAGUGUAAUAAAGGUUUCAGGAAUAGAAUUUAGUGAUUCCAAAGAUGUCUCUAUUGUGCAUGGAAUUUUUUUUUUAAAAUUUUAAUGUUUUUUUAAAUUUUUUUGUAUAAUGUUUAUUUUAUUUUUGAGAGAGAGAGAGAGAACAUGAGCAGGAGAGGGGCAGAGAGAGGAGACACAGAAUCCGAAGCAGGCUCUAGGCUCUGAGCUGUCAGCACAGAGCCCGACACGGGGCUCGAACCCAUGAAUCGCGAGAUCAUGACUGGAGCCAAAGUCAGACACUUAACUGACUGAGCCACCCAGGUGCCCCUAUUGUGCAUAAAAUUUUAUUUAUUUUUUUUACUCUUUUCUUUUCUAGGACUAAUGAAGAUAAUAUGGGAGAAAAGAGGGAGAGGCAGAAAAUAAAUUUAAUAAAUGCAUUCAUAAAUAUAACAAUUUAAAAUAACUAUACUACAUAAUAUUCGAGAAAGACAGAGGGUGUAAUGAUUGUAAAGAUCCUGGGGUGGGAGUGUGAUUCUGGCAUUUAAGCAUCAGAAAGAGGCUAGUGUGACCAGAGCAGAAGCAAGUGAGUGAGAGAGGAAUAGGGGAGGAGAUCAGAGUUGCUAGGGCAUAUGGGUCACUAUAGGGUCUGUGGCUUCUCCUCUGAGACUGGUAGAAUAAAAGCAAGCAAGUCAACCUUUCUUUACUGUAACACCUCAAGAAAACCUCUUUUUUUUUUUUUAAUGUUUAUUUAUUUUUGAGAGAGAGAGAGAGAGCGCACACAGAGGAGGGGCAGAGAAAAAGGGAAACACAGAAUCUGAAACAGGUUCCAGGCUCUGAACUGUCAGCACAGAGACCGGUGUGUGGCUCGAACUCAUGAACUGCGAGAUCAUGAUCUGAGCCAAAGUCUGACACUUAACUGACUGAGCCACCCAGGUGCCCCUCAAGAAAACCUCUUGAUGACUCAUUCUAUUCUUAUUCUCCUGCACACAAGGCAGGAGGGAUCUGCCCAUGAUUCAGUUUCUUCUUGGCUUUAGUAUAGGAACCCUGGCUUCAGAGACUGAUCCGGCCCAAGAGUUCAUGGUCGUGCAUUAGCUUCCACACCAAGGCCACUAUGGAACACACUGCCUCAGUGGCCCGCAGACUCCCAUAAACGUCAGCUUCCAUCUGACUCAGGAAGAACAGACACAUAGGAUUCGGUGGCAGAGGGAAGGGAGCUAAUUCCAGUCAUCACCCUCCCAGAAGCUCCUGCUUCAGAACCCAAAACUAUAUUUAUCUUGGUCCAAUGGCACAAUGUCUCUUUAUUCUCACCUUCCCAUAUUUCAAAGAAAUUGAUAAAAUAAAAAGCCACAAGUUAACACGAAGCAAUUUCUAUAUCCCGAUACGUAGCAUUUAUUGUUAUUUUACGAUGACUUUUGUAUAACAGAUCAUAUUGUUCAACAAACCUUACUUUAUUGUAAGCAAUAGGCAAAAAGGCUUAGCUGUUCACAACAAAACUGUAGUUGGACUCUUCGCAGAACUAUCUAAGGUUGUGGAAUCACUCUUGCUUGAAACAAUGAGUAUGAAUGUGAUUAAAACAACGAAUAUUGGGGCGCCUGGGUGGCGCAGUCGGUUAAGCGUCCGACUUCAGCCAGGUCACGAUCUCGCGGUCCGGGAGUUCGAGCCCCGCGUCAGGCUCUGGGCUGAUGGCUCAGAGCCUGGAGCCUGCUUCCGAUUCUGUGUCUCCCUCUCUCUCUGCCCCUCCCCCAUUCAUGCUCUGUCUCUCUCUGUCCCCAAAAUAAAUAAACAUUAAAAAAAAAAAAAUUAAAAAAAAAAAAAACAACGAAUAUCUUUGCGGCACUUAUUUGUUAUACGUCAUGCUAAAUCCUUUAUGCAUGUGAUUACCUCAGUCCUUCAAACAAGCCAGUGCGGUAAGCAUUACUGACAUUUUACUAUUGCAAGGGAGGACAUCUAGGGGGCACACGCCUGUCGAGUGGCAGGACUGAUCUUGUCUGCCUCUAACCCAGGGGACCUAACAUCCAGUCACUGUUUACAAAACCACCCAACAAAGGCAGAAGCACUCAAAGGCCACAGAACCUUUGCAAAGAUAUAAAGCUGUAUUACAAAAUCCUCGGUUCCAGGGGACCUGUUGAGACAGCGGGGCUGAGCAGUUCAAGACUUGUUUCGGUGAGCAUCACACAGCUUUGUUUCAAUGGAGAGCAGCAUACAGGAGCAGCUGUCUGCUCUAAUCUCUGCCAGGAUACUUCAAGCCAAGAAUUACAUUUUUAGCUCAAGGGCACUGUCUCUCUUAGAGAUGUAGUUCUAAAUUGAGAGCAUUAACUGAGCCUCUGCUUUUCAGUCUGUCUCCUGAACAUCCAAAGGUAUUAUUUUGAAAAAAAAAAAAAAAAAAAAAGAAUGAUAAAGAACCAGAGAAUCAAUGUGCUAUACUCAGCUUCUCAAAUGACUGGUAUGAUUUCCUAUCUUCAUUAUCAGCAGCAGCAGCAAGUAGCAUUAUUAUAAUCAUUAUUAUAAGUAUUUGUAGGCAAACUCUUUCUAUGGUCAAAGUGUUAGGUAUGAUCUCUUGCACUAACAAGUGAACCUCUCUAGUCUUUCCUUCUUGGGUUAAACUGUUGGGAGCUGGGUGGAGGUGGGCAGGUCUGGAAUCUUCUGUACAAUGUACUGGCCUGGCACCCUUUGAACCCUGUUCGUGAGGUGGUCCUUUGAAACUUCUGGAGAGCUGUAAUGAUUGGAAAGUGGUAUACUGAAGGAACAUCAUUUGUCCUCCUCUGAAAAUUCUAUUCCUUGUUUUUAGCACCAACACAUUGCAAUGCAAAGUUACUUCUAUGUAAUUCAAAUACUUCAAAACAACUGGCCCUUUCUUCUUCCUAAAUCUUUAUUUUUCCAGUGUAAAUAUUUCUGGCUUUAGCUGCUUUUCAAAUGAAGCUAUAUCCAGAUGCAUUCUCACUCUACUGACUCUUUAAGACACUUUACAUUCUGCAGCUCUAUUUGAGAUGAGGCUCUGGGAACUAAAUGAUAUUUCAGACACAUUCUUUGCAUUGCAGAGGACAGGUGAACUGCCUGGGACCUUCCUUGCUUGGACACUGGACAUCUAUCUGCUAAUGUAGAUUAAGUUUGCAUCCACCCACGUGAGAUGACUGAACCAUACUGAGCGUGGAGUGUAUGGAAUCAGUUGGAAUUUUGUUUAUUUUGCGUGGAUUUUGGCAGUUUACUAACUAGGGUUUUGUUUCUUUGUUUUUCAGUGGAUGUCACGUGACAUAGUGAAAAGGGCACCGGACUUAAAGUCAGAGUAUUUGGAUUCAAUUCUUACAACAACAUUCAAGAACUCAUUCAACAACAUACAACAAGCUCAUAAAUUUUUUAUUUUACCUCUCUGUUUUCUCAGAUUUAAGUUAAGCUUGAUGAAGAUUGAAGAUAAAGUAUACAAAAGGAGUUUCUGAAGACUUGUGUAAUCAUUAAGUAUUGUUUUUUGAAAACUUAAAGUGAGAGUCUUUUCAUGAACCCCUUUUGAUUCCAUCAUGUGAUUUUUGCCCAACUAUUUCAUUGCUAAAAGACUUUUGCCAAGAGAUAGGGUUAGCAAUUAUAUUAUUUUAAAAAUAUACAAAAAAUAUGUUUGGACUAUAUUGAGAAGUAA
rnacentral:lncRNA from 1 species